UUGGGGCAUAGGGUUUAGGUUUUAGGGUUUUAGGGUAUAGGGUUUAGGGUAUAGGGUUUAGGGUUUAGGGUAUAGGGUUUAGGGUAUAGGGUUUAGGGUAUAGGGUUUAGGGUAUAGGGUUUAGGGUUUAGGGUUUAGGGUAUAGGGUUUAGGGUUUAGGGUUUAGGGUUUAGGGUAUAGGGUUUAGGGUUUAGGGUAUAGGGUAUAGGGUAUAGGGUAUAGGGUUUAGGGUUUAGGGUAUAGGGUAUAGGGUUUAGGGUUUAGGGUUUAGCGUUCUAGGGUUUUAGGGUUUAGGCGUUUAGGGUUUAGGUUUAGGUUUUAGGGUUUAUGGUUAGGUUUAGGGCUUUAGGUUUGAGGGUUUAGGUUUAGGGUUUAGGGUUUAGGUUUUAGGGUUUUAGGGUUUAGGUUUAGGUUUAGGGUUAGGUUUAGGUUUUAGGUUUUAGUUUAGGGUUUUAGGGUUUUAGGUUAGGGUUUAGGUUUAGUCCGUUUAGGUUUAGGUUUUUAGGUUUAGGGUUUUAGGGUUUAGGGUUUAGGUUAGGUUAGGUUAGGGUUUAGGUGUAGGGUUUAGGGUUAGGGUUAGGUUUAGGGGUUUAGGGUUAGGGUUUAGGGUUUAGGGGUUUAGGGUUUAGGGUUUAGGUUGGUAGGGUUGUUAGGUUUAGGGUUAGGGUUUAGGGUUGGGUUAGUUAGGGUUUAGGGUUUAGGGUUUAGGGUUUUAGUUUAAGGGUUUAGGGUUUAGUUUUAGGGGUUAGGUUUAGGUUUAGGGUUAGGGUUUAGGUUUAGUAGGGUUUUAGUUUAGGGUUUAGGUUAGGGUUUAGGUUAGGGUUUAGGGUUUAGGGUUUAGCGGUUUAGGGUUUAGGUUUUAGGGUUAGGUUAUUUUAGUGGGUUUAUGGUUUAGGUUUAGGGUUAGGUUAGGUUUAGGUUUAGUUUAGGUUAGGGUUAGGGUUUAGGGUUUAGGGUGUUAGGUUUAGGUUUAGGGUUUAGGGUUUAGGGUUUAGGUUUAGGUUUAGUAGGGUUUAGGGUUAGUUUAGGGUUUAGUUUAGGGCUUUAGGUUUAGGUUUUAGGGUUUAGGUUAUUUUAGGUUUAUUUAGUUUAGGUUUAGGGUUUAGUUUAGGUUUAGGUUUUAGGUUUAGGGUUAUGGUUAGUUAGUUUAGUGUUUAGUUUUAGUUUAGGGUUUAGGUUUAGGUUUAGGUUUAGUUUAGUUAGGGUUGUUAGGGUUUAGGUUUAGGGUUUUAGGGUUUAGGGUUUAGUUUAGUAGGGUUUAGUUAUUUAGGGUUUAGGGUUUAGGUUUAGCGGUUUAGGGUUUAAGGUUUCUAGGGUUUAGGUUUAGGGUUUCAGGUUAGCGGUUAGGUAGGGUUUAGGGUUUAGGGUUUAAGGGUUUACGGUUUAGGGUUUAGGGUUUAGGGGUUUAGGGUUUCUAGGGGUUUAGGGUUAGGUUUAGGGGUUUAGGGUUUAGGUUUUGUAGUUUAGGGUUUUAGGUUUAGGGUUUAGUGUUUAGGAGUUUAGGUUUUUAGGGUUAGGGUUUAGGGUUUAGGGUUUAGGGUUUAGGGUUUGAGUUGUAGUUUUUAGGGUUUAGGGUUUUAGGGUUUAGGGCUUUUAGGCGUUUUAGGUUCUAGGUUUAGGGUUAGGGUUUUAAGGUUCUAGGGUUUAGCGGUUUGGGUUUAGGGUUUUAGGGUUUAGGGUUAGGGUUUUAGGUUUUUAGGUUUAGGGUUUAGUGUUUAGGGUUUAGGUUUAGGCGUUUUAGGGUUUAGGUUUAGGGGUUUCAGGGUUUUAGGGUUUAGGUUUAGGUUUUUAGGGUUUAGGGUUUAGGGGUUUUAGGUUUUUUAGGGUUUAGGGGUUUAGGUUUUAUGGUUUAGCGGUUUAGGGUUUAGGGUUUAGGGUUUAGGGUUUAGGUUAGGGUUUUAGGGUUAGGGUUUAGGGUUAGGGUUUAGGGUUUAGGGUUUAGGGUUCUAGAGGUUUAGGGUUUAGGGUUUAGGGUUUUAAGGUUUAGGGUUUAGGGUUAGAGUUUAGGGUUUAGGGUUUAGGGUUUAGGGUUUAGGGUUUAGGGUUUUAGGUUUAGGGUUUAGGUUUAGGUUUAGGUUUAGGGGUUUAGGGUUUAGGUUUAGUUAGGGUUUAUAUGGGUUUAGGGUUUAGGGUUUAGCGGUUUUAGGGUUUAGGGUUUAGCGGUUUUUAGGGUUUUAGGGUUUUAGGGUUUACGGGUUUAGGGUUUAGGGUAGGGUUUAGUGUUUAGGGUUAGGGUUUAGGGUUUAGUUUUUUAGGGUUUAGGGUUCUAGGGAUUUAGGUUAGGGUUUUAGGUUUAGGUUUAGGGUUUAGGGUUUACGGGUUUAGGGUUUAGGGUUUAGGGCUUUAGGGUUAGGGUUUAGGUUUAGGGUUAGGGUUUAGUUUAGGGUUUAGUUUAGGUAUAGGGUUUAGGUUUAGAGGUUUAGGGUGGUUAGGGUUUAGGGUUAGGUUUAGGUUUAGGGUUUAGGGUUUAGGGUUUAGGGUAUUUUUUUUAGGGUUUAUGUGGUUUAGCGUUAGGGUAUAGGGUUUAGUUUUAGGGUUUAGGGUUUUAGGUUUAGGGUUUAGCGGCUUUAGGUUUAGGGUUAGGUUUAGGUUUAGGGUUCUAGGUUUAGGUUUGGGUUUUAGGUUAGUUUAGGUUUAGGUUUAGGUUUAGGCGUUUAGGGUUUAGUUAAGGUUUAGGGUUUAGGGUUAGGGUUAGUUUUAGGUUUAGGGUUUACCUCCGCUCAUGUUUAGGGUUUAGUGGUUUUAGGUUUAUUAGGGUUUAGGGGUUUUAGGGUUUAGGGUUUAGGGUUAGGUUUAGGGUUUAUGGUUUGGGUUUUAGGGGUUUAGGGGUUUUAGGGUUUUAGGGUUUAGGGUUUUAGGGUUUUUUAGGGUUUAGGGUUUUAGUGUUAGGGUUUAGGGUUUAGGUGUAGGGUUUAGGUUUUAGGUUUAGGUUUAGGGUUUAGGGUUUUAGUAGGUUUUAGGGUUUAGGGUUUUAGGGUUUAGGUUUAGGUUAGGGUUUUAGGGUUUGAGGUUUAGGUGUUACGGGUUUAGGUUUAGGUUUAGGUUUAGGGUUUAGGGUUUAGGUUUAGGGUUUUUAGGUUUAGGGUUUAGGUUUAGGGUUAGGGUUUUAGGGUUUAGGGUUUAGGGUUUAGGGAUUUAGGGUUUAGGGUUAGGGUUUAGGGUUUAGGGUUUUAGGUUUAGGGUUAGCGGUUUAGGUUUUAGUCGUUCUAGGGUUUAGGGUUAGGGUUUAGGGUUUAGGUUUAGGGUUUUUAGGGUUUAGGUUUAGGGUUUAGGUUUAGGGUUUAGGUUUAGGUUUAGUUUAGGGUUUAGGGGUUUUAGGGUGUUAGGUUUAGGGUUAGGUUUAGGUUAGGUUUUAGGUUUAUGUUUAGGUUAGGGUUUUAGCGUUUAGGGUUUAGGGUUUAGGCGUUUAGGUUUAGGGUUUUAGGGUUUUAAGGGUUUAGGGUUUUAGGGUGUUAGGGUUAGGGUUUAGGGGUUUUAGGGUUAGGGUUUAGGGUUUAGGUAGGUUUAGGGUUUAGGGUUUAGGUUUUAGGGUUUAGGGUUUUAGCGGGUUUAGGGUUUAGGGUUAGGGUGUAGGGUUUAGGGUUUAGGGUUGUAGGGUUUAGGUUUAAGGUUUUAGGGUUUAGUUUAGUUUAGGGUUUAGGGUUAGGUUUAGGUUUUAGGUUUAGGUUUAGGUUUAGGGUUUAGGUUUAGGGUUUAGGGUUUAGGGUUUAGGGUUUAGGGUUUAGGGUUUUAGGGUUUAGGUUUAGGUUUAGGGUUUAGGGUUUAGGGUUUUAGGUUUAGGGUUUUAGGUUUAGGUUUUAGGGUUUAGGGUUUAGGGUUAGGGUUUAAGGGUUUAGGGUUCUAGGGUUUAGGGUUUAGCGUUUUAGGGUUUAGCGUUUAGGGGUUUAGGGUUUUAGGUUUAGGGUUUAGGGUUUUAGGGUUUAGGGUUAGGUUUUAGGGUUCUUAGGUUUAGGGUUUAGGUUUUAAGGGUUUAGGGUUUUUAGGGUUUAGGGUUUAGGGGUUUUAGCGGGUUUAGGGUUUAGGGUUUAGCGGUUUUAGUUUAGGGUUUCAGGGUUUAGGUUUAGGUUAGGGUUAGGGUUUAGAGGGUUUAAGGGUUAGGUUUAGGGUUUAGGUUUAGGUUUUAGGGGUUUAGGGUUUAGGGUUUUAGGGUUUAGGGUUUAGGGUUUUAGGGUUUAGGGUUUAGGUUUAGGGUUUAGGGUUUAGGGUUAGGGUUUGAGUUAGGUUUAGUUUUGGGUUUUAGGGUUUAGGUUUAGGUUUAGGUUUAGGGUUAGGGUUUAGGUUUAGGGGUUUUAGGUUUAGGUUUAGGGUUUAGGUUUAGGGUUUUAGGGUUUAGCGGUUUCAGGGUUUAGGGUUUUAGGGUUUAGCGGUUAAGGGUUUAGGUUUAGGGUUUAGGUUUAGGGUUUAGGGUUUAGGGUUACGGGGUUUAGCGGUUUAGGGGUUUAGGUUAGGUAGGGUUUAGGGUUUAGGGUUUAGGUUAGUUUAGGUUUAGUGUUUAGGUUUAGGGUUAGGGUUUAGGGUUAGGCGUUUUAGGGUUUAGGGUUUAGGGUUUAGGUUUCUUAGGGGUGUAGGGUUUAGGGUUAGGGUUUUAGGGUUUAGGGUUUUAGGUUUAGGUUAGGGUUCUAGGUUAGGUUUAGGGUUUAGGUUUUAGUUUAGGGUUUAGGGGUUUAGGGUUUAGGGUUUUAGGGUUUUAGGGUUUAGGGUUUAGGUUUUAGGUUUAGGGUUUAGGGUUUCGGGUUUAGGGUUUAGGUUUAGGGUUUUAGGGUUUAGGGUUAGCCGGUUAGGUUUAGGGUUUAGGGUUUAGGGGUCUAGGUUUUAGGGUUUAGGGUUUAGGGUUUAGCGGUUUAGGUUAGGGUUUAGGGUUUAGGGUUUAGGGUUUAGGUUUAGGGUUUAGGGUUUAGGGUUUAGGUUAGGGUUUAGGUUUAGCGGUUUAGGGGUUUUUUAGGGUUUAGGGUUUUUAGUGGUUUAGAGGUUUUUAGCGGUUUUAGGGUUUUAGGGUUUAGCGGUUUAGGGUUUAGGGUUUAGGGUUUAGGGUUUAGUGUUUAGGUUUAAGGGUUUAGGUUAGGGUUAGGUUAGGGUUUAGGUUUAUGGGUUUAGGUUAUAGGGUUUAGUAGGUUUAGGGUUUAGGUUAGGGAUUUAGGGUUUAGGUUUAGUUUUAGGGUUUAGAGUUUAGAGUUUAGGGUUUAGGGUUUAGGGUUAGUUAGGGUUUAGGGUUUAGGGUUUAGGGUUUAGGGUUUAGUUUGGUUAUAGGGGUUAGGAGUUUAGGUUUUAGGGUUUAGAGGUUUAGGGUUAGUGGAUUUUAGGGGUUUAGGUUUAGUGUUUAGGGGUUUAGGGGUUUAGAGUUAGGGUUUAGGGUUUAGGUUUAGGGUUUAGGUUAUAGGUUUAGUGUUAGGGUUUAGUUUAGGGUUUAGGGUUUAGAGAGUUUAGGUUUAGGUUUAGGGUUUAGGGUUUAGGGUUUAGGUUUUAGGGUUAGGGGUUUAGAGGUUUUAGCGUUUAGGGUUUAGCGGGUUUAGGGUUUAGGGUUUAGGAGUUUUAGAGGUUAUGGUUUAUAAGGGUUUUAGGUUUAGAGGUUUAGGGUUGUAAGUUUAGGGUUUAGUGUUUAAGGGUUUAGCGGAAUUAGAGUUAGGGUUUAGAAAUUUAGUUUUAGGUUAGGGUUUAGAGGUUUUAAUGGGGUUUAAGGUUAGGUGUUUAGUGGUUGGGUUUAGAGGUUUAGUGGUUUAGGUAUAGGGUUUCAGUGGCACGGGUUUAUGGUUUCCAGGGUUUUAGGGAUUAGGUUUAGGGCUUUAGGUGGUUUGUUGUGUAGUCUGCCAGGCGCGCGUAUUCAUUUUCUAGAGAUUUAGGGUUUAGGGUUUAGGUUUAGGGUUUAGGUUUAGGGUUUAAGGAUUAGGUUUAGGGUUUAAGGGUUUAGGUUUUGGUUAGGGUUUAGGGUUUUAGAGGUUUAGUGGUUGAGGGUUUCAGGGUUUAGUGGUUUAGGGUUAUAGAGGUUUAGUAUUAGGGUUUAGGUGUUAGUUUAGGUUUUAGGUUUAGGGUUGUAUGAGGUUAGGGUUUAGGACGUUAAGGGCUUUAGGGUUUAGGGGUUUUAGAGGUUUAGGGUUUAGCCGGUUUAGGGUUUAGGGUUUUGACGCGUUUAGCGGGUUUCAGGUUUAGGGUUUACGCGGUUUAGAGGUUAUAGGUUCUAGGGUUUAGGUUUAGGGUUUAGCGGUUUAGGGUUUAGGGCUUAGGAGGUUUAGGAGGUUUAGGGUUAGUCAGGUUUAGGGUUUUUAGGGUUUAGAGUUAGGGUUUAGGGUUAGUGGUUUAGGGUUUAGGUUUUAGGCUUAUAGGGUUUAGGUUUGCAGAGGUUUAGGGUUAGGGGUUUAUUCAACCGUGGUUUAGGGUUUAGGGUAUUAGGGGUCUUAGUGUUUAAUGCGGUUUACGGGUUUUAGAGUUAUAGGGUUUUAGGGUUUAGGGUUUUAGGGUUAGGAUUAGGUUAGGGUUUAGUGGUUUUAGGUUAGGGUUUAGGUUUAGUGGUUAGGUUUAGGGAUAUUGGUUUUAGGUCUAGGAGGUUCUUAGGUUUUAGGGUUUAGGGUUAAGGGUUUUAGGUAUUUUUAGGUUUUUAGGUAUUUAGGGUUUUAGGGUUUUGUUUUUAGAGCUUUAGGGUUUUAGGGUUUAGGGUUUAAGGGGUUUUAGGUAGGUUAGGGUUUAGGUGUUAGGGUUUAGGGUUUAGGUUUUAGGUUAUAGGUAUUAGGGUUUAGGGUUUAGGGUUUAGGGUUUGAGGGGAUUUAGCGGUUUAGGAUUUUUAGGGUUAUAGGGUAUUAGGGUUUAGGGUUUAAGGUUUAGGGUUUAGACUUGGGUUUUUAGGUUUAGGGUAGGGUUUUAGGGUUUUAGGGUUGUUUAAGGUUUUGAGUUUUAGGGUUUUAGGUUUUAGGUUUUAAGUUUUAGGGUUUUAGGGUUUUAGGUUUAGGGUUUUAGGGGUUUAGGGUUUAGGGUUUAGGUUUAAGGGUUUAGGGUUUAGGGUUUAGAGGUUUUAUGGGUUUAGGGUUUAUUGGUUAGGGUUUAGGGUUUAGGGAUUUUAGGGUAGUUGGUUAUAGGUUUAGGUUUUAGUGGUUUAGGUGGUAGUUUUAGGGAUUUAGGUAUUAGGGCUUAGGUUUAGUUUAGCGGGUUUAGGGUUUAGGUUUAGGGUUUAGGGUUUAGGAUGUUAGGGUUUAGGCUUUAGAGUUUUAGGUUUAGGGUUUAGUGGAUUUAGGGUUUAAGUGGUUUAGAGGUUUAGGGUUUAGGGGUUUAGGUUUAGGGUAUUAGGGGUUUAGGGUUCUAGGGUUUAGGUGUUUAGAGGGUUUUACGGGUUUAGCGGUUUAGGGUUAAUAGGGUUUUAGGGUUUAGGGUUUAGGUUUAGGGUUUAGGGUGUUAGUUUAGGGUUUAGGGUUAGGUUUAGGUUUAGUGGUUUAGGGUUUAGGGUUUAGGGGGGUUUUUAGGGAUUUAGUGUUUUAAGGGUUUUAGGUGUUUAGGGUUUAGGUGUUUAGGUUUUAGGGUUUAGGUUUAGAGGUUUAGGGUCUUAGGGUUUAGGGUUUAGGGUUUUAGGGUUAGGGUAUUUAGGUUUUAGGGUUUAGGGUUAGGGUUUAGGGUUUACGGUUUAGGGUUUUAGGGUUUAGGUUUUAGGGUUUAGGGUUUAGUGGUCUUAGUUUAGGUUAGGGUUUCGGGUUUAGGGUUUAGGUUUUUAGGGGUUUAGGUUUAGCGUUUAGUUUAGGGUUUAGGGUUUAGUGUUAGGGUUUAGGGUUAUAGGUUUAGGUUUAGGUUUAGGGUUUAGGGUUUAGGUUUAGAGGUUUAGGGUUUAGGUUUAUGUAGGGUUUAGGGUUUAGGGUAUAGGUUUAGUUUUCAGGUUUUUAGGGUUUAGGGUUAGUAGUUUAGGGUUUAGGGUUUAGGGUUAGGUUUCAGGUUUAGGUUUUAGGGUUUUAGGGUUAGUGAGGUUUAGAGGUUUAGUGGUUAGGGUUUAGGUUUAGGGUUUAGGGCUUUAGGUUUUAGUUCGGAAUAUUAGGGUUUAGGGUUUAGGGUGUUAGAAGGUAUUAGGGUUUAGGGUUUUGAGGCGGUUUAGGGUGUAGUUUAGCGGUUUAGGGUCUUUAGGGUUUUAGGGUCUUUAGGUUUUAGGGUUUUAGGGUUUAGAGGUUUAGGGUUAGCUGUUUAUAGGUUUAGGGGUUUAGCGGUUUAGGGUUUAGGGGUUUAGGAGUUUAGGGUAGAAUUUAAGGGGUUAUUAGGGGUUUGGGUUUAGGGUUUAUGUGGCUUUAGGGUUUUAGCGGUUUAAGAAGAGUUUUAGGGUUUAGGGUUUAGGUUUUAUGGGUUUAGGGGUUUAGCGGUUUAGAGUUUAGGGUUUGAUGUUUAGGGGUUUAGUUUAGGGUUUAGUUAGGUUUUAGCGUUUAUGGUCUUAGGGUUUUUAGUGGUAUAUAGGUUUGGUUUAGGUUUUAGUUUAUUGGUUUAAGGGUUUAGGGUUUAGGGUAUUAGGGUUUCAGGAGGUGUUAUUUUUUUUAGGGUUUAGUUUAGAGGUUUAGGGUUUUAGGUUUUAGUGGGUUUAGGUUAGCGGUUUAGGGUUUUAGGGUUUAGGAUUUAGGUUUAGUUAGGUAGUGGUUUAGGGUUUAGGGUUUAGUGUUUAUGGGUUUAUGGAUUUAACGAGUUUAGCCCUGGUUUAGGGUUUAGGUUUAGGGUUCUAGGGUUUAGGUUUAGGGUUUUUUAGGGUUUUUAGGGUUUAGGGUUUUAGGUUCUAGGUUAGGGUUAGGGUUUAAGGGGUUUUAGGGUUUAAGGAGAUUAGGGUUUUAGAGUUUUAGGGUUUAGUGUUAGGGUUUUAGCGCGUUUAGGGUUUAGGGUUUAGGGUUAGGGUUAGCCGGGUUUAGGGUUUAGGUUUUAGUCGAGUUUAGGGUCUAGAAGAGGUUUGAGGGGUUUAGGGUUUAGCGUUUAGGGUUUUAGGGUUUAGUAGUAUAUAGGGUUUAGGGGUUUAGGGUUUAGGGUUUAGGGUUUAGAGGGUUUAGGUUUAGGGUUUAGGGGUUUAUAGUAUCAGAGUUUAGUGAAUUUAGGGGUUUAGGGGUUUAGAGGGUAUUAGGGUUUAGGGUUUAGAGGUUUAGGGUUACGGGUUAUAGAAGGUUUUAGGUUAUAGGUAUUUGUAGAUUAUAGGGUUUAGGGUUUAGGGUAUUAGUUUAGGGUUAGGUUAUAGUAGUUUAGGGUUUAGGGGUUUUAGGGGUUUAGUGGUUAGAGGUUUAGGGUUUUAGAGGGUUAUAGGGUUAGUGUUUAGGGUUUAGGUUUAGCGGGUUCUAUGGGUUUAGGGUUUAGACGGUUAGGGUUUAGCGUUGAGGUUUAGGGUUAGGGUUUUAGGGUUUUAGUAGGUUUAGGGUUUAGGUUUACGGUUUAGGUUUAGGGUUUUAGGGGAUAGGGUUUAGGGUUUAGGUUUAGGGUUUAGGUUUAGGGUAGGUUUAAGGUUUAGGAUUUAGGGUUGGAUUUUAGGGUUUUAGGUUUAGGGGUUCUAAGGUUUUAGGGGUUUAGAGGUUUAGGGUUUAGCGUUAGACUGGGUUUUAGGGGUUUAGGGUUUAGGUUUAAGGGUUAGGUUUAGGGUUUAGGUUUAGGGUUUAGGGUUUAAGGUUUUAGGGUAGUGUUUUACGGUAGGGUUUAGAGGUUUUAGGGUUAGGGUUUAGGAGUUUAGGGUUUUAGAGUUUAGGUUAGGGUUUAGGGUUUAAGGGUUAGAGGUUUAGGGUUUAGGGUUUAGGGUUUAGGGUUUAGGGUUUAGGUCUCGUAGUGAAUUUAGGUGUUAGGUUUAGGGUUUAGGUUUUAGGGGUUUAGAGGGUUCUUAGAAGGUUAGUUUAGGUUAGGGUUAUAUGCAGAGAUUAGGGUUUGUUAGCGUUUAAGUUUAGGUUUAGAGGUUUAGGGUUUAGGUUUAGGGUUAUAGGGUUUUAGGGUUUAGGGCUAUAGCGGUUUAGGGUUAGGGGUUUUAGGGUUUAGGAAUUUAGGAUUUAGGUUUAGGUUUAGGUGUUUAGGGUUUAGGGUUUAGUUAGGGAUUUUAGGUUUAGGUUUAGGUUUAGGUUUAGAGGUUUAGAGAUUAGGUUUAGGGUUUUGAGGGUUUAGGUUUAUGGGUUAGGGUUUAGGGUUUAGGUGUUUUAGGGUUAGGGUUUGUUUAGGGUUUAGUUUUAGGGUUUAGGGUUUACAGGUUUAGGUUUAGCCAGGUUUAAGGUUUAGUUUAGGGUUUAAGGGUUUAGGGUUUAGGUUUACGAGUUAGGGUUUAGGUUUAGGUCUAUAGAGGUUUAGGGUUUAGGGUUUAUGUUUUAGGUUUAGUAGUUUAGGUUUAGAGGUUUAGGGUUGGGUUUUAGGUUUAGGUUUAGGGUUCUAGGGAUUUAGGGUUUAGGCGGUUUAGCGCGUAUAUAAGGUUUUCACGCAUUUAGGUGUUGGUGGUUUAGGGUUUUAGUGGUUGUUAGGUUUAGGUUUAGGGUUUAGGGUUUAGGUUUUAGGGUUUGUAGGGUUUAGCGGUUUAGGGUUUUAGGGUUUUUAGGUUUUUAGGUUUUAGGGUUUAGAUUGUUCAGGGUUUUUAGGUUUUAGGGUUAGGUUUAUAGUUUAGGGUUUAGGUUUAGGGUUCAGGGUUUUAGUGGUUUUAGGGUUAGAUUGGUUUAGUGGUUUAGGGUUUUAGGGGUUCGUAGGGUUUAGCGGGUUUAUGGGGUUUAGGGUUUUUAGGUUUUAGGGUUUAGGUUUAGGGUUUAGGUUUAGGAUUUAGUGUUUGUAGAGGUUUUAGGCGUUUUAGUGGUUUAGGGUUUAGCGGUUUAGGGUUUAGGGUUGGUAGUGGUUAGGUUUAGAGGUUUAGGGUUAUAGGGUUUUUAGCGGUUGUGGGUUGUAGCGGUUUAGGGCGGUCUUUAGGGUAUUACGGGUUCUUAGGGCUUUAGGGUUUAGAGUUAGGGUUUAGGGUUUGGGUUUAGGGGAUUUAGUUUUAGGGUUUUAGGGUUUAGGUUUAGGUUGUUUAGGGUUUAGGGUUUAGGGUUAGGUUUAGGAGUUUUAGGGUUUAUGUGUUUAGGGUUUAGGGUUUAGGUUAGUGAUUUAGGGUUUAGGGCUUUAGGGUUUUAGGUGUUUUAGUGUUUAGGUUUGGGUUGUGUAGCGGUUUAGGGUAGUGGUUUUAGAAGGUUUAGGGCUUUAGGUUUAGGGUUUAGGGUUUUAGGGAUUUAGCGGUUUAUGGAUUUUAGGUUGGGUAGUGAUUUAGGUAUAGGGUUUAGGUUUUAGGGUUUAGGUUUAGGGUUUAGGUUUAGUGUUUAGGGUUUGAGGGGUUUAGGGGUUAGGAGUGGUUUUAGCGGUUUAGGGUUUAGGGUUUAGGGGGUUUAGGGUUUAGGGGUUUAGUUUUAGGUUUAGUUUUAGUGGUUAGGGUUAGGGUUUUAGGUUUUAGGGUAUUUAGGUUUUAGGGUUUUAGGGUUUAGGUUUUAGGUUUUAGGGUUUAGGUUUAGGGUUUAGGGGUUUACGUUGGGGUUUUUAGUAGGUUUAGGUUUCGGGUUUUAGUAGGUUUAGGGUUUAGUUCAGGAGGUUUAGGGUUUAGUAGGUUUAGAGUUUAUGGGUUUUCAGGGUUUAGGGUUUAGGGUUUAGGGUUAGGGUAGGGUUUAGCGGUUUAUGGGUUUUUAGGGUUUAGGUUCUUAUUUAGUUUAGGGUUUAGGGUUUAGGGUUUAGGUUUAGGUUAGGGUUUAGUGUUUAGUUUUAGGUUUCAGGGUAGGGUUAGGGUUUAAGGGUUUUAGGGUUUAGGGUUUAGGUUUAUUAGGUUAUAGGGUUAGGGUUUUAGGGUUUAGGGUUUAGGGUUUAGGGUUUAUGUGGUUAGGGUUAUAGGGUUUAGGGUUUAGCGGUUUAGGGUUUAGGCGUUUUAGGGGUUUAGGUUUAGGGUUUGAGGGUUUAGGGUUUAGGGUUUAGGGUUUAGUGGUUUAGGGUUUUAGAGCGUUAGGUUUUAGGGGUUUAGGGGUUUGAGGGUUUUAGGGUUUAGUGUUAGGGUUUAGGGUUUUAGGGUAUUAGGUUUAGGGUUUAGGUUUAGGGUCAGAAAACCUAUUUAGGUUUAGGGUUAUAGGGUUUAGGUGUUACGAGGGUUUAGGGUUCUAGAGGUUAGCGGUAGUUAGGGUUUAGCGGGGUUUAGGGUUUAGCUGGUUUAGGGUUUAGCGGUUUAGGGUUGUAGUGGUUUAGGGUUUAGAGGUUUAGGGUUUAGGUUUAGCGGUUUAGGUUUUAGCUUUUAGGGUUUAGAGGUUUAGGGUUUAGGAUUUAGGUUUAGGUUAGGGUUUAGAGGUUGUAUGGUUUAGUCGUGUUAUAGGGUUUUAGGUUUAGGCGGUUUAGGUUUAAGGGUUUAGGGUUUAGGUUUAGUUUAGGGUAGGUUAGUGUUUAGGGUUUAGGGUUUAGGGUUUAGGGUUUAGCGGUUUAGGUUCUCUCAGGGUUUAGUGGUUUGUGGGGUUAGGUUUAGGGUUUAGGGUUUAGGGUUUUAGGUUUUAGUCCGGUUCUUAGGGUUCUAGGUUUCUAGGGUUCUCAGAGGUUUAGUGGUUUAGGGGUUUAGGUUUAGGUUAGCGUUUUAGGGUUUUAGGUUUAGAGUUUAGGGGUUUUAGGGUUAGCGGGUUUAGCGGUUCUUAGUAGGUUUUAGGGUUUAGGGUUUAGGUUAGGGUUUUAUGGGUUUUAGUGGUUUAGGGGUUAUAGGGGUAUAGGGUUUUAGGGUUUAGGGAUUUAGCGGUUUAGGUUAUUAGGUUUUAGGUUUAGGGUUUAGGGUUUAGGCUUUAGGGGUUUAGGAUUUAGGGGUUUAGUGGUUUAGGGUUUAGGUGGUUUAGGGUUUAGGGUUUAGUUUAGGGUUCUAGGGUUGUAAGCGGUUUAGCGGUUUAGGGUUUAGGGUUUACAGGUGGUUUGAGGUUUUAGGGGUUUAUUGUUGUUUCAGGUGUAGGGUUUAGAGUUUAGCCGGUUUAGGGUUUUAGGGGUUUAGAGGUUCAGUUGGGUUUAAGGAGGUUUAGGGUUUAGGGUUUGGGGUUCUUUAGGUUUUACGGGUAUUAGGGUUUAGGUUUAGGGUUUAGUUAGGGGUUUAGUGGUUUUUAGGUUUAGGGUUUAAGUUAGGAUUUAGGUUUAGGGUUUAGUUGGUUAUAGGUUUUAGGGUUAGGUUUAGGGAUUUAGGGUUUGAGGGUUAGGGUUUAGGGUUAGGUUGAGUGGUUUAGGGUUUAGGGAGGUUUAGUGGUUUACGCGGUUUAGAGUUUAGGUUUAUGCGGUUUUAGAGUUUAGGGUUUAGGGUUUUAGGUUUUAUGUGGGAUUGUAGCGUUAGGGUUUAGGGUUGAUGGAUUUGUAGGGGUUUAGCGUUUAGGGGUUUAGGGUUUAAGGUUAGGGUUUAGGUUUAGAGGUUUAGACUACCUAGUAGGGUUUAGGUUUAUGUGGUUUAGGGUAUAUAGGGUUUAGGGUUUAGGUUUAGUUGGUUUAGAGGUUUAGAGGUUUUAGUGGUUUAGGCGUUAGGGCUUUAGGUUUAUGGGGUUUUUUUAAGGGUUUAGGGUUUAGUUUAGUGGUUUUAGGGUUUAGGUUUAGUGGUUUAGAGGGAUUUAGGGUUUUAGUUUAGGUGUCUGUAGGGUUUAGGGUUUAGGUUUAGGGUUUAGAGUUUUAGGUUUAGGUUUAGGGUUUAGGGGUUUAGGGUUAUGGGUUUAGGGUUUAGGGUUUUGUGAGAGUUUAGGGUUGGUUAGGUUUAGGGUAUGAGGUUUAGGGUUUAGAGGUUUUUAGUGGUUUAAGGUUUACUGGUUAUAAGGGUUUAGGGGUUUUAGGAGGUUUUUAGGGUUUAGGUUUAGCGGUUUAGGGUUUUCAGGGUUUAGGGUUUCUAGGAUGUUAGCGGUUAGGGUUUAGGGUUUAGCGGUUCUAGAGCGUUUCAGGUCUUUAGUGUCUAGGGUUUUAAGAGGGUUUAGGGUUUAGGUUUAGGGAUAGGGUGUUUAGGUGGUGGUUAGUGGUUUAGGUUUAGCGGUUUAGGGUAUUAGGGUUUAGGUGUUAGUUAUUAGAGUUAGGAGUUUUUAGAGCGGUUUAGGGUUUAGGGUGUUAGGGUUUAGUAGUUUUAGGUUUAGGGUUUUUAGGGUUUAGGUUUAGUUUAGGUUAGGGUUUAGUUAGGGUUUAGGUUUAGGGUUUAUGGUUUUAGGGGUUAGUGGUUUAGGGUUUAUUUAGGGGUUUUAGAGGUUAGGGUUUAGUCGGUUUAGGUUAAGGGUUUAGUCGGUUUAGGUUUAGGGUUUAGGGUUUAGGUUUUAGGGUUUAGGGUAUUAGGGUUUUCAGAGUUAGCGGUUUAGGGUUUAGGUUUGGGUUUUUUGGUUGUAGGCGUUUAGGGUCUUAGGGUUUCAGGGUUUAGGUUUAGGGUUAGGCGUUUAGUGGUUUUAAGGUUUAGGGUAUAUAUAGAGGUUUUAAGUGUUUAGGGUUUUAGGUUUAAGGUUUAGGGUUUAGUUUAGGGUUUAGAGGUUUAGGUUUAGGCGGUUUUGGUGGUUUAGUGUUUAGGUUUAAGGUUCUAGGGUAUUAGGGGUUUUAGGGUUUAGGGUUCAGGUUUAGGGUAUUAGGGUUGGGGUAGUGGGCGUUUAGGGUUUAGGUGUGUAGGAUUUAGUUUAGGGUUUGUGUAGGUUUGGCGGGUUUAGAGGUUUAGUUUAGGGUUUAGGUUUAGGGUUAGGGAGUUUAGGGUUAAUAGGUUAGUGGUAGGGUUUAGAGGGGGUAUUUUUUUGUAGGUUUUAAGGGUUAUGUCGGUUUAGACCGUGUUGAGACUUUGAGAGCGUUUAGGGUUUAGUGGUUUAGGGUUUAGGUCUUUAGGGGUUUUAGUUGUUUAUGGGUUUAGGGGUUUGAGGUUUUAGGUUUCUUAGGGUUUAGCUGGCUUUAGCGGUUUAGGUUAUAGGUUUAGCUGUUAUUUAGGGUUUAUGGUUUUAGGGUUUAGGUUUAGGGUUUAGUAUUAGGUUUACGUGGUUUUAGGGUAUUAGGGUUUACAGAUUUUUAGGGUUUAGGGUUAGACGGUCUCUUAGAAGUUUAGGGUUUUAGGGUUUAGGGUUUAAUGGUUUAGGGUAGUGGGUUUUAGGGUUUAGGUUUAGGGUUUCGUGUUUUAGGUUAGGGUUUAGGGUUUAGGGAUUUAGGGUUUUAGGUUUACGGGUUAGAGGUUUAGAGUUUAGGUUAGGGUUUAGCCGGUUUAGCGGUUUAGACGUUAGGGUUUAGGGUUGUAGGGUUAGGGGUUAGGGUUUAGGGUUUAGGGUUUAGGGUUCUAGGGGAUUUUAGGGUUAGCCGUAAGGUUUAGGGUUGUAGGGUUGUGUAAGGGUUUGAGGUGUUGUAGGUUUAGCCGUGUUUAGAGUUUAGGGUUAGGGUUUUAGGGUUUGGGUUGUGGUUUAGUGGUUUAGGGUUUUAGGUUUAGGGUUUAGUGGAUUUAUAGGGUUUAGCUUAGGUUUAGGUUUCAGGUUAGCGCUCUGUAGGGUUUAGGGAUUUAGGUUUUACGGUUUAGAGGUUUAGUUUAGGUUUAGGUUUAGGGUUUAGGGUUUGGGUUUAGACGGAUUUAGGUUUGAGUUUAGGUUUAUUAGGGUUAGUUGUAUGUGGUUUAGUGGUUUUAGGUUUAGGGUUUAGGUGGUUUAGGGUUUGUUAGGGUUUAGGUGGCUUUAGCGGUUUUUAGGUUAGGUUUGUAGGGUUUAGUGGUGUUAGUUUUAGGUUUUUUAGGUUUAGUUGUAGGUUUAGGUUGAGUUUAGGGUUUAGGGUUUAGGGUUUAGGUUUUAGGUUUAGAGGGUUCGGUAGGUUUAGGUUGGGUUAGGGUUUAGUUAGGUUUAGGGUUUUAGGGUUAGGUUUAGGGUUUAGGGUUUAGGGUUUAGAGGUUAGCUCGUUUAGGCGGUAUUAAGGUUUAGGGUUAGCGGUUUUAGGUUUAGGGUUUCAGGUUUAGGUUUGAGGUUAGGGUUAGGGUUUGACUGGGUUUAAUGUGGUGUCUCGAGGGGUUGUGUGAGCGGCUUUAGGGUUUUGUAUGGUUAGGGGCUUACGGUUUAAGUGUUGUUGAGAGCGCGUUUAGUUUUGAGGGUUUACAAAGGUAUUAGGUUGUAGGGUUUAGGUUUAGGGUUUAGGGUCGUUAGGCGCUCUUUGAGGUUUAGAGUUCUUAGUUUAGGUUAGUUUAGUUUAGUUUAAGGGUUUAGGUUUAGGUUUAGUGGGUUUGUUAUGGUUAGUGUUUAGGUGUUUAGGGUUUUAGGUUUGUGUGUAGGGUUGAGGUUAGUGAAGUUUAGGUGUUAGGUUUGACUAUGACGUGUUCGCGCGCCGNNNNNNNNNNNNNNNNNNNNNNNNNNNNNNNNNNNNNNNNNNNNNNNNNNNNNNNNNNNNNNNNNNNNNNNNNNNNNNNNNNNNNNNNNNNNNNNNNNNNGUCGAGUAUAGGCAAAAAACUGCCUAUUUGCCAGGUUAGGUAUAAAUUCAGAGUAAUGAUUAGAUAGACCAAUUUUCGCGAUUUGGAUGAAAAAUUUGAUUUUUCUCUGGGGUGAAUAAGAAAAAUAGUGUUUGGAUUAGAUAAGACUAGAAUUACGAAGGUAGUGGGUACAUUUAUAGAUAAAAAAAAAUGCAUAUUUAGCCUCUCAUCUAUAUCUUGAAUUUUAAUUUUUUUAAAUCUUUACAUUCUUAUUUUAAAUUAUAAAAUUUUUUUUUUAAUUUCAAAUUUUGAAAUUAAAAUUUUAAAUUUUAAAAUCUCAUUUAAAUUCAAAAAUUGUUUAAUUAAAUUUCAAACUUUAAAUUUAAGAUCAAAUUUAAAUUUGAAAAAAUAUAAAAUAAAAUUUUAAAAUAAUCAAUUUAAAAUUUUAUUUAAAAUUUUUGAUUUUUAAAAUAUAAAUUUUAAUUUUGGAAUUACAAAUUAUAAAGUUUUAAAUUUUCAAUUUUUAACAUUUAAAUUUUUAAUUUUAAAAUAAGAGGAUAGGCGGUGGGAACAUUAUAAAAAAUAAUUUAUUAUAAUUUGAUAAAACAUUAAAAUUAUUUAAAAAAUUUAUAAAUUUUCUUUAAAAUUCUACUUAAACUUAAAUUUAAAGAAAAGUAAUUUAUUAUAACUUUAAAUAUAAAUCAAUACUGUAUUAAUAUAGAUACAAUUAAUUAAUUUCAUAUAAUAAACAUAAUAUAUUAUUAAUAUAUAAUAUAUAUAUAUUCUAUAUAAUUUUAGUUUUAAUUCAAUUCUAUAUUUUAAUAAAGUUUGAAACUAAAUAUCGGAAUAGAACUAUUCUACCAAAUGGGUGGAAUAUGUGUGCCGAAUAGUAAAUCCUAAGCAUUCCGAGAUAAGCGUAUUUGACCGAGAUAAAAAUAUCCGGCCCAAAUCAUCCCGUUGAGGAAUAGUGAGAAUAACUUUCGUUAUCCCCGCUUAUACCCUUGAACCAAAGCCGACCUUAAGUGUAUAAAAUACAGCGCACGGUCGUCUUCGAUUGUGACUACUACCCGAUUCAACCUUACGAUACACUUCGAACGAUGACUCAGCCCAACCUGGCCUCACGAACAUUUUUGACACUGUGACUUGGCCCACUUGGCUCCCCACCACAAAUGGAAGAUGUGGGCCAUUAUAAGCCAACCAACAUCCUUCAUGGCAUCAGCAAAUAAACAAUGCGUGGCUCCUAUUAUUGUGAUGAAUUAUUAAAUCUAAGAAAUUAUUCUUACUUCUACUGAAUAUAGUUAUACAUUCUAUUAAGAUAAUUAGUAUACAAUAUUAAGAAACGUGUAGAAAUUAAUGCCAUUUUCAUAGUGUCCAAAAAAUAACGCGAGAAUUAUGAAUCCUAUUCAUAUGCGCAUAGCCAAAACAAUUAUCUAGGCAGCAUUUAAUCAUUGAAGCUCGUUGAUGCACUUAUAUUUGUUGUAUACAAUAAAACACUAGCGCUUAAUCCCCAGCUAAGCCCUUAAUGAUUUGCAAUCAGUACAUACUCUCACAGCAUUGAUAGAUAAUUUCACACUUAAAACUAAAACAAGAAAGUUAACGUCAUGUUUUAUCCUGUUAAAAAAAAUUCUUAUAUCUGCUUUCACUUUUAUGCGGAUUAUUUUAGUAUUGCAAAGCGCUAUGAUGUAUCAUUAAAUUGGUUUUAUUACCUCUAGUAAGUGGUUUUUUACAUAGCAUACAAGAGUUACUGAAAAAAAGCAUUUUCGAUAGAAAGCUAUUCAAUACCACCUCUUGAGUUAGAUGGAGCUUCUUACAUUAUGAAAGGGUGCUAUGUCCAUGAAGGUAGCUAAAUCACCUUUACAAGUAGACUUUCUAGAGCUCUAAACUGCCUAUCUUUAAAACUUAUUUAGCCACAGUAAUAAAGUUUAAUCACUCUUGCUGGUAUAUCAAGCCAUGAAAAAGUUACAUGCAAACAUAUAAAUGAAUGCUUCAAGAUAACAAACUACUGCUUACGUUACCUCAUUCAGAGCGUCAAGUACAAAUGGGAGUAAAUCUUCAUCGGAGUCCUGUCAUAGUUACACCCAUCAAGAUCUUGUUCAAUUUAGUAUGCACUUCUCAUUAAGCAAUACUAAGUUAAGGAACAUGAAAGUAAAUUGGAUGUUUUCAAGGGAUUACGACAUUAACGGGGAGGGCGAAAUGACCAAAUUGCCCUUACUUGUUCUGGAAGGGAAAAAAAAAAAAUUUAAUGUAUUUCCACAAUUUUCAAAGGCAUUUUCGGUACAGAACAGUGACGAAACCCUGACGGCUAGGGGCUAAGUGUGUCAACUUGAAAUUUUGAGGAGGCAAAAUAUAGGUUUUUAAAAGUCACAGGAGAAAGUGAAAAGCAGGUAUUUAUAGGAGGGUUUUCUGUAUUUUAGUCUAACAAAUAUCAUGUAUAAAUUACCUAAAGAGCGAAAUAUACAAGACAUCAAUCCACCAAGCAUGAAAAUUUAUGCGAGGUAACAUAGUUAGAACCCCAACAAAUUUUUGUGGGUGCACAUUUUAGCAGUCUAACUAACAUAGCACCAGUAGUAAAUCUAACUAAUAAUUAUUAAGCAACAUUUAGUGACAUAUUAUCUUCAAAAUCAAAAACUUGGAACUAAGGCAAUUUUAGUUAAGCAAAAAAACCUUGGUACUAGUCGGAGAAUGGAUGUGAAACACUGUAUGGUGGAAGUCAGUAUAAGCAUUAGACCUUGCUCCUGUCCCAAGCAGUUUCUCACGCUUUUUACUUCCAAGAAAUGCAACAUGCUCUAUCAUAUGUGCAAUCCCCUGCUCAUCAUCUUCUUCAUCAAUUGAUCCGACGUGAACUUCCAUAUGCGCCUCAAACCUGGAAAUUUUGAUACCAUUACAAAAACAACAAUUAUAAUGGUUGCAUUUUUUCUUAACAACUACAAAGGAAGUAUGCUGAAUUCUGUUAUAGUGCUUUGUCAAAGCGCAUACAACAGAGCUGGAUAUAAAUUCAUUUAACUCAACAAUACAAUCAACACUUUUCGUAGACAUUCAUCAUGAACACCCAAGCAAAAGCUACUGGCAAUCUGUAUAAGUUCAUUUUGCAUUCGUCAAGCUGAUUGUAGCCAUAGCUUGUCUCAUAAAAAUACAACAUAUCUUUUUAUCAAGCCAACUUUAACACACAAAAUCAAUAUUAUGCACGCCACUGGUCCUUAAAUCAGUUUCGAGAGAAAAUCUCUAAAUUCCUGUCCAGUAUUGUAGAUCAAUUGGAUGCGGUCAAAACAAUAAAAUUCUUUCUUGUCGAAUCUCGUUCAUCUACAAAUAAACAUCUUCUAUUUACUUUAGUAGACGAUAAAUUUCUCCAAAUACUAAUAGAGAGAUUCCCUGUCCUGCAUUAUGCCUCUUUGCAAUGUCAGCAUCAAAUAAGCAUCACAGAGAAAUGUUAAAGGGUUGAAUCUUAAUCUGACAGAUGAUCCAAGUACAAAACAGAAUCCCAAAUCACAGUAUGUGAUAUAUUUAUGUAGCACCUUGAUUAACAACAACAAUAAAACUACAGGAAAACUACAAUUCCAAGUUCAGAUAGGAGACAAGAAUUGCAAGAUGAUUUCUCUUUUAUCCCCCACUUGUCCUGCUAUCUCAAGCUAUAGUAAAAAUACCUCAUAUUUUACCUGGCAGCUGUUCACUAAGGCAGCACAGCAUAAGCGUUGCGAUCACAAGAGUAAUAAGGAUUGUCUUCACCUUUCAAUAUCAAAGAAGGCUACAACUGCUAUAAUGACAAAUCCCACCAUUUUGGCAGAACUGCCUGGCAUAAAGGGCCUUCAAUUUUAUUUUUAUUUUUUUAAGACAAAGGCUUCCGUUUGCCUAUUCCAGCAGAGAGUACUGCUAUUUGGCGCGACGGUUGGGUUACUCUCUAAGCAAAGCGAGUAUAAUAAACCACAAACAAAAAAUAAAGUAUAAACCUAACGAUGAGAUAGUUGCACUACAAGCAUGCACAGAAAUCAUCCAAUAUUUCUCCUGCAUAAAUUUUAUUCUUUUUCAAACAAGCAGGCCGUCAACUUGGAGGAUAAUGAAGAGAUAGCAAUGAGUUAUCAGCAAAAUAUAAAAGAAAAACCUCGUUAAGCAGAAUUCCAAUAUCAAUAGAACUCAUAUCCUUACCUGUUAGGUGGUGUUUUAUUAGGUAAUAUAAUAUAGCGUAGACCAUUCUUCAGUUGUCCUCUGUGUAGCUUUGGAUGAGUAGGAAGUGGAGAACUAAGAAAACCAUCUAGUUCUGUAUUUUCUGCUUCAGGAUCCCAGAAAGGUAAACCUUGUUUCUCAAGGAUUCCCUCUGACCAUGUCGUACUUGCUACAUGCGGCUCCUCGGGACCUAAAGCAGCACAUUGUAUUGCCUAAAAAGCAAACAAAGAUCAGUUACCGCAGACUGUAUGACUGUAAUAUGUUUCUAGAGAUUUUGGAACUAGAAGAGUACUAAUAUAGUCAAAAUGGUAUAUUUAGAGUAAAGACAAUAACGGAAUUUUUGUCAAUGCUAAAUAAGUUAAUUACACAUUGAAGCAUAAGUAGAGGAGGUAGGACUUAGGAAGAAAGCUACCAAGAGUCAUGAGAUUAGCCAGAGUUUUUAACUUCUUGGUCGAAAAAAACUAUUGUCUGUAGAAGAAGAAAAAAACAAGUUUCUGUAAAAGAAAAUAUGAGAACUUAACUGAUAUUUAGUUUUAUAACAAUCAAUGAAUACUUUUUCUCCAUUCCAAUGAUACCUCCGGAACAUAAAUCCUACAUCAGUUGAAGAGAAAUCCAAAUAACAUGACUACGACAAUAAAUCACAUGUGCUUAUACUCUUUUCAAAUUACAUUCAAAAUUCAAAAGGAUAUAUUUAUUUUCUUACCAAAAAUAUUUUGGCUUUUCCACCUAGAUUUUCCUUCCCUUUUCUCGAAACUGUAUAGAGAUUUGGCUUCAUCAAUUUUAUGCUUGUCCUUUGAUGUAUUUUGGCAAGUUUUUUCAAACGUCAAUUACAAUCCUCUAUAGACGCCUCUAAACUAUCACUGAUUGAUUACGUCAAAACAGAAUCUAAAGAAGAUAAAUGUCACAUAGAAAAGUGAAUAACAUUCAUAGAGUAGAUAUCGGAAAGGGAGUACAAGGAAUGUUGGAACUUACUGUCUUUCUGCCAGAGAGCAGUUUCUGACAUGGGAGACUCGAUUUGUCUGAGAAAACAGACGGUUCACAUCUCCUAAGGGAAUAUCUGUUCCUACGAUGACCUUGAAAACAAGAAAAGCAUCGAAGUUGUCCCCUGUUAAUCCCGAAAGCCACCGACUCAUCAAUAGUCCGAAGAUUUUGUCUCCGAGAACCAUCCAACCUUGCUCUAAUAACUCGUGAUUUUUUCGACCCACCAACAUGGAGGCACCUUCAUUCACAGAAAGGUAAAAGAGUUACAAUUACACAUUGGAGCCAAUAAAGCGCGCUGACACUUGUCCACCUAAAUGUAAGUACAGGAAGAGUAACUAAAGAUUUUCAAACUCUAUAGCUAGAUUAAGUGCCCGCUUGGAUGCCAGAAGAAGUAAUCUGGAGAUAAAUUGUGCAUUUUUGGGGAAUUUUUCCAUUGUGAUUGCAACCUAGGAGCUUGCUUGAUUAGUCCGCAGCAAGGCCCUCAUAAUCAUGAGUUUGCAUGAUAGAGCAUUCUGUAUUAGGCAAUCUAUCAUAUUCUAAGAAAGUAAAAAAUUUGACUUGAGGCCGCAUAACUGCAUAAGUUGCUGGUUACAGUCAUGUUUCAAACUAAGUAACACGCACCAAAAGUCCCCAACUGUCUAGGGAACACAGUGAGCUGAGAAUUACAUACGGACUUAAAAAACAAUCAAUAGAGAGAUAUAGAACUGCAGGUCAUACUCUUCCAGCUCUGUAGCACAAGGUUAAUUUAAAAGUAAAUGGUGAUUUGAAUUAUCCUACAAUUUUCAGUUUUUUUUUCUUCUCCUUUCUCUUCUCUUCUUUGCAUAUGUAUAUUUUUUUUACCGGGGAAGCACGGGAGAGGGGGGGAGGCGAGCGGUGGAUCGGAGAGGGGAGGGGGCUCCUCUGAGAGCGGCGGCGGAGGAGGGCAGGGCUACGGACGGAGCGCGAGAGGAGCGAUGGCGGCGGCCUUGUUCCGAACCCAGAAUUCUGGGCGGAGGAGAGCAGAGGUGAGGGGCCGCCGAGGAGCAGGCCAUCGUUCCUCUUUCUCUCUCUCUCUCGUGGUAGCGAUGGUGGUGGUGGUGGUGAAAUAGAGAACGAAUUUAUUUGCAAAAGAACAGAGAGAGUGAGGAGGGGGGGAACGGACGGCGGAACCCCAAUCCCAAAAGCCCUUCUUUGUUCGUUCCCUUGUUUGGGCGUUACGGAUGACCGACUAUUAUAUGCUCUCUGCCUUCCUUGCGUUUGGGGGCGGUGCUGCCGAAACGAAGAAAUAUCGUGCGCCUCGCGUCAAGGAAUUGUGGACGGCGUUACACUUGACCUGAUAUUGUGAUUUUUUUUUUUUUUUUUUUUUUUUUUUUUUUGGGAAUACAUAAAAUUUAUUUGUGAUUAUUUGUAGCUGUAGCCUUACAAACAGCCCACAUUUACAAAUUUUAUCACACAAAAAUUUAACAUUUUUUCAAAUAAACUUGAAUGCUCUAUUUUGAUUUCGAAAUAAAUUAGAGGCAAUAAAAAUUAUCUCUCUUAUUCUACAGAAUACAUAGAAAAAAUAUAAAUAGAUAUUCCGAUUAAAUCAGUUUAUUCUAAACAAUUCUAGAAUAACUCGAUAAAAAAUAAUUUUACCUUUUUAACAGAAUAGAGCUACUCUCAUAUUAUACUUAGGGCACGUUUAAUAUUAUAGGAUAUUAAAUAAGAUUUUGAUUGUUUAGUGAAUUAAAAAAAAAAAAUAUCAAAUCAACCACUACUGGUAUCUCAUCGAAAACGGCACUGUUUUACCGAGUACGAAUUCGUUCAGAAUUUAUUCUAGCACUUUCGCCCUCUAACUAGUAGUAGUUUCUGCUCCUCCAGUUGAGCGGCGAGCGGGAAGCGGCAGCAGUCGCCAUGUCCACCUCGUCGUCCUCCCGCGUCCUCCUCGGGCGCCUGCCCCUCCUCUUCUGCCGCCGACGCCUAUCCACAGCAGCGGCGGCAGCCGCAGCACCAGCCUCGGCCUCGGCCUCUGAGGGGGAGGGGAAGAAGGAGGAGGAGGUGGGCGGCGGCGGCGGCGUGAUAUCGAUGAAGGGCGUGCGGAUAUCGGGGCGGCCGCUGUACCUGGACAUGCAGGCGACGACCCCCGUGGACCCGCGCGUGCUGGACGCCAUGCUGCCCUUCUACCUGUCGCGCUUCGGCAACCCCCACUCCCGCACCCACCUCUACGGCUGGGAGUCCGACGCCGCCGUGGAGGCCGCCCGCGCCCAGGUGGCCGCCCUCAUCGGCGCCGACCCCAAGGAGGUGUUCUUCACCUCGGGUGCCACCGAGUCCAACAACAUCUCCGUGAAGGGCCUCAUGCGCUUCCACCGCGACAGGAAGCGGCACGUGGUGACCACCCAGACGGAGCACAAGUGCGUGCUCGACUCCUGCCGCUGGCUCCAGCAGGAGGGCUUCGAGGUCACCUACCUGCCCGUCCGCCCCGACGGCCUCGUCGACCUGGACGCCCUCGCCGCCGCCAUCCGCCCCGACACCGGCCUCGUCUCUGUCAUGGCCGUCAACAACGAGAUCGGCGUCGUCCAGCCUCUCGAGGACAUCGGCUGCAUCUGCCGGGACAAGCGCGUCCCCUUCCACACCGACGCCGCCCAGGCGCUCGGCAAGAUUCCCAUCGACGUCGCCCGCAUGGGCGUCGCCCUCAUGUCCCUCAGCGGCCACAAGAUCUACGGGCCCAAGGGCGUCGGCGCCCUCUACCUCCGCCGCCGCCCCCGCGUCCGCGUCGAGCCCCAGAUGAGCGGCGGCGGCCAGGAGCGCGGCAUCCGCAGCGGCACCGUCCCCACCCCGCUCGCCGUCGGCAUGGGCGCCGCCUGCGAGAUCGCCGCCCGGGAGAUGGACUACGACAACCGCCGCAUCGCCGCCCUCCAGGCCAGGCUCCUCGAGGGGAUCCGCUCCCGGGUCGACGACGUCGUGGUGAACGGCAGCGUCGAGCACCGCUACCCGGGGAACCUGAACCUCUCCUUCGCCUACGUGGAGGGGGAGAGCCUCCUGAUGGGCCUCAAGGAGGUGGCCGUGUCGAGCGGGAGCGCCUGCACCAGCGCCAGCCUCGAGCCCUCCUACGUGCUGCGGGCGCUGGGGGUGGACGAGGACAUGGCCCACACCUCUAUCCGCUUCGGCAUCGGCAGGUUCACCACCGAGGCCGAGAUCGACCGCGCCGUCGAGCUCACCGUCCAGCAGGUGCGGAAGCUUCGGGAGAUGAGCCCCCUCUACGAGAUGGCUAAGGCAGGGAUCGACCUCAAGAGCAUCCAGUGGGCUCAGCACUGAGAUCGACGCCGCGGUAUCUGCAGACUCCGUUAAGGUUGUUGCUUGUUAUUAAGGAAGGGCGGCGGCGGCAGCAAAAGCAUCACAAAUUCGUUCGAAGAGAAGUACAUGUAAGAUGAGGUAACCGACCUUGCUUGAUAGAUAGUACCCUCUUUCGCUUGUAAAUCCGCUCUUCUCCGGCCUGUUUUCGUGCGCAAUCACACUGUAUAAAUCUUGAAAUAAUAGAGUGGUCAAGGAUGCAUCCACUCCUACUACCGUAGCAGUACGUGCAGAAUUUUCUCUCUUUGGCUUGGGGAGACUGGAAAAUAAACAGUUUCACUUAGUAGAAUUAGAGAACUCAUAAGUUAAAGAGGUUUGCCGCUUGAUCUUCAUUGUGAAUUGUGCUAGUUUUUGUUUGUUAAUCUAUAUAUCGUGUAUUUUGAUGUACUAGCUUGCUUCUUUUGGUUUUUCUUAUGUUGUGGCAUCUUUCUCAAUUUGUUCCCGCUUCUAGAAAGUGUGUCAGUAUGACAUUGGUUUUUAUACCUGAUAACAUCUUCCUUUACUGCUAUAAUUUUGUGUUUGUUAUCUUGCACUUUUGUUUAUUUGAGGUCAGUAAGUUCUAUUGUAAUUCUUCAGAGAAGUCGUUUUGAAUAUUGCAGUGUAUUUUCUGCUUGGUUAUGCUUUUAUGCUUUUGUUAACAGUUUUUCUGCUUAAUAUGUGGCCUCAGCAAAAUGAUUUCUUCGUUACCAGAGUAAAUAUCUAUUCAUCAAUAUUGCACAGUUUACUCGUUUCUUUGUCUGGUUUGUUGUGUUUAGUCUGAUUAAGGUUCGUGAAAUCUAUGUUAUUAAUCAUUUUAGAGUAACUUGGGAAGUUGAGGGACUGGGGUCUUAGGUGGAAAAGUUCUUUCCCUUGGAUAAUUCUGAAUGGGCAUUUGUUGUUUUCUUUCCAGCAGAAGAUUUUGAUUUUCUUCUUGCUGGUUUAGGAACUUUUGGGGCUUUGAAUAGAAAAAAUGAGAAGUAACUGAUAGGAUUGAUACUUCCAUCGUUGAGAUUUUGAGCUGAAGCUGAGGUCUGUUGUUAAGCGUGUUGUUAUGGGAAUUUGAAGGAAAAUCGGUGCAAAGUUCAAACAAUUGACUACAGUUUGAUGGUUGACUACUUGUAAAGGUUUCCAAAGGUUUUUACAAAGUGGUAUGCCGAGAUUCCGCACUUUUGUUUUCUCGGUGGAUGUAAGCUAUCAAGUACCAAGCUAAGGUGUAUAUUCUAUCUCUAGUAUGGAAAUAGUCAUACAAAGUGAUUUGUUUUAGUCAGAAGAAUCUGUUUGGGAGCCUUUUUUUUUGGCAGUGGGAGCGGGUACCAGUCCUAAUGAAUUUCUCAGGUGUUUGGGCUCUUGAAUAUGGUCAGAGAGGUUGUGGAAGGGCUCUAUCCAUUGCGGAAGAGGAUGAAUCAUGGGAGGAGGAGGAAGCAUGAAGAGAGGGAGUGGGAGAGGGAGUGGCAGAAGACAAGGAGGUUGCAGUAGCGGUCAAGAAAGCGUUGCCAUCAGCAUGGCAUUGAAACUCGAGUCCUGGGACUAGUAGCUAUCAGAAUGAGAUAUAAUUAAUGUAAAACUAGGCAUGCAAUCAAGUUAACCUGAAAAUUACUUAAAAGUCAACUUGACUCAGCUUGAGACGGUUCAAAUUGUUUGUAUGGGUGUUUGUACGAUGAAUUGGUAGUGAUUAAAAGAGGAUUUUAUAAAUGAAACCAAUAUUGACAGAGUUAACUUUGCUGCUGACAGAGUAAAAUAACCUGAAUUUUGGCAAGAUGCAUUGUAUUGGCCGUGAAUAAAACCAGCUCUGUUAUUAGUUCCCUUACAUGAAACCUUAGGGUCGUUUUACCUAUGAGCCUAAAGAGCGUUUUGUGGGGCUUUACAACAGUUGUAGAUUUUUUAAAUUUUACCGCUGGGAUCUGAAAUGGAUCACCAGGUCUAAUAAUGUUGUGGCUGAUUUAAUAAUGUUGAUGUUUAUAGAAGGAACCUAGAAAAUUGAAGAUUUUAGACAUAGUGCUAAAAAUGGGUACGACUCUCCGACUAUAGAUAUAGAGUGAGAACUUGAUGAAUGAUUGUGGAGCUGAAUACAAAAACUCUUUUGAGUAUGAGCAUGGAACUUAAAGUGUUUUAUUUUUUAUUAGAAUUUGAUAUUUAGAUAAACCAUUGAAGUCUGUUAUUAGUAUUGAGUAAAUUUAGGUCUAGAUUUCAGCUUAGAUUGACUCCAUUGAAGUUUGGAUUGAUUUUUGAACUUAUGGGGUAUUUUUGGAUGAAUUUUGGUCGUCCAUAUGAUAUAUAGAUUUCAUUAAGACUAAUAUAGAACACUUGAUGAAAUGUUGAAUUUUUAUGGGGAAAGAAGGGAAAAGAAUUGUAGGCUACUUUGCGGGCUAGAGUCUAAGUUUCAAAGGGAGUAACUAACAGAGAUGAUGGCCGCUAUUGUAAGCGCCUCCAGCCUCACCAACCCAUGCAACAGUUUUAGUCCCUGCUGCUUUUAAUAUUCCCUGCAGGUUGCUGAAUGUACUGGCUUCACCAUCAAGAUACGAAGGAUCAAGAAUUUUGUCGAUCAGGUGAUCAUCAACACCUAAGAAAGAUUGCCAAAUUUGAUAAGUUACAUGACCUUACUUUUGAUCUUCAUUGAGCACAAUUAAUGUUAGGUUUUUGUUACAAUACCUGGACCAAGAUUGUAGAUGUGGUGGGUGAUUACAUCCAAUGAGCUUGGUUUUGUUUUAGUAAUAAACUCACUGAACCAGCCUGCGUCAAAGAAGCCGCCUGGUGCUAUAACCAAUGGCUUAGCAGGGAAGCCUUGAUAAAUGUCGUCAAUUAUUGACCUGGUGCUAUAACCAAUGGCUUAGCAGGGAAGCCUUGAUAAAUGUCGUCAAUUAUUGAUUUGAGGGCAAUCGCAUCUGCAGCAUACUGAUCUGCACCAACUCGAGCACCGACUCCAUUUCCACUAAGUUCAUUUCCUGCCAAGCAAAGAGGACGAAGGUCCCAUUUGAGUUGGGUUCUGGAACACCGUCUCUAAAUUGCAAAGCAGUACUAGGCUGAUUGGCAAAUGAGAAGUCAGCAACAUUUGCUGUGGGUGAAAGCUGAAAUGAGCUUCUAUCACGAGCUCUGAAGCUGCUUCUUUGCUGCAGCUGAAGCUAUUGGAGGCAAAUGAAAGUCAGAGCAACAUCUGCUGCGUAGUGGAGAAGCAUGAAAUGAGCUUCUUCAUUAAAGCCUCGCAGCUCCAUUAUGAAGUCCUGCUUUGCCUGACCAGCAUGAAGUACUGGAGGCAAAUUAAUGAGAAAAGCACCAUUUAGUGCUUCCCAAAGCUAGCCUUUAACUCACAACACUUCUGCAAAAGCCUAAGGCUCAAUGGCCCCAAUCUUUCAAUUGGAACAUGUAAUUUCAUUAUGGAACUGCUAUCUGGCGAUACUAUGAUAUAGAAAAAUGCAGGUCAUGGCGAAUAGGACUUACACUUCGCGCGCAGAUGAGCGUGAAAAUUAAAAUCAUUAUUCUUUGUUCAACAUUCUCUAUGUUGCUAGUUCUAUAGAGCUAGCAUUAGUAAUAUCACAGUCUUGACACAGAAAUAGACAUCGGAAGCACCAGAUCUUACAAGCUCCAAACAUGGAUUUGUGUAACCUUCUGUUGACUGUAUAUCGAAUAAAAGAUGCAGAAUUGGAGUUAGUUCCAAGGUCCAAUCCUAAUGAAACCGUCCGCAUUGGACCUUCUCGUAUGAGUGCUAUUCCAAAGAAAAUGAUUAAGAGCUGAAGCAUUUAGAUUGCCAGCAGCUUUUGUUCAAGCUCCUAUAACAAGAAAAAAGUGUCUUAGUUGUAUAUUACUUAAAGUGGAAGUGAGAAUAUCUUGAUAGAUACUGAUAUUAUUCUUAAAAAAUAUUUUUGCCGUUAUUACGUUAGACACGUGUAGAUCCAGCAAGCAAAAAUACCCUGCUUCGAAGAAGUCGUUUGGGUCAUCCCUCUCUUCAAAGAUAAGCAGCCCCGGAAAAACCCCGAAUAUCUCCGAAUUCAUUCUUUGACGAACGGAGUGCAAUUUUGCGAGGGUCUCCAGUGUCGUAAGAUGGAUGUAAAUGAACCUUAUUCUGCAAUGUGCACCUAGGCCGACGCGAAGGCUUCAAUCGAGAAAAUUCUAGAAACAACAUCGAAUGAGAGAACAAAAGGGGAAAAAAUUUUUUUACCCCAAAAAAAAAAAAAAAAAAAAAAGAAAAAAGGGGCAGAGAAAGAAGUAAGAGAAUUAGACUCCGUGGUUCAACAAAGUUAGGACAAAAAUCAUAUAUUGGAAUAUGAGAAACUUUCUUUACCUUGAGUCGCAGUUCAAUUAGAAUAGGUUGCGAAGAAUCUGCACGAAAGAAAGAUGAACACCAUGUGUCAAUAAUAGUUUUAACUUCAUCUUUGACUGCACAACUCUGAAACAACCUUUUCAAUCAAAUUUAAGAGCACGAACAGAACAACCAAAAUUUACCAAAACAAGAUAAAACGUUUAUUUGUUCUUUACUGUAAGAGAUCUAACUUAAGCAUGAGUUAACCCAAAAUGGACAAAUUUAAUGCGAAUGGACUAUGGACUUUUGCAUGAUUAUAGUGUAUGCAGCAGUUUUCAUAAUCCGAUGACAGCAGUUGGCUAGGUUCUAAGCUUCCUAUGGCACUAUACAUCCAGAAACUAAAAUAACAAUAGCAAUUAAGCAAUCCAACUUAGGGCAUAUUCUUGUUUAAACCGAAAGUGAAAGGUGUUGAAGGGGCCCAGUGAAGUUGUUUUUGGACUUCUAGAUGCCCAAUCUGUGUUGUUCCGUUUACUCCACUUUUCCGAAACGCCAAUAACUGACUUCACCUGGUGGGGCGAAGUCAGUUAUGAAAGAGAAAUAAUAAAUAAAAAACAAAACAUUCAACAGUAAAGCGAACAUUUGGUCCUAAACCUAUGAGGGGGUGACACUUCAAGUACUUCAAAUUUUAAAUUUGUUUUAAUUUUGGAGCUCGAACUUCAGAUUGGUUGCAAGUCAAGCCUUGUAGUUGACAGCGCUGACGCAACUGAUGUGACAUCAAAUUAUUGGGCAUUAUCACAUUAAAACAAUGUUACGAACUUCCUAUAUUAAAAAUCAUCAUGAUUAGUCGACUAAAUUGGGAUUAUGUAUUUGCUUACAACAAUUCAAGAGUUCAUUGCUAGACAAACUGCAUAAUUAAAUUUGAAGAUCAACAGUGUCAACACCUCAUGUUGAGGACCGAACGGUGCGUUUAUCCAAAAAAUUACUAGCUGGUAAAAAAAUAUUAUAUAUAUAGAUUUAGCUACUCUCUUUUUGUGCUGGUGUAAAAAUUUUAGUAACCCGUGAGUUCAACUAAAAAGUCAUUGUCAACCGAAAAAAAAAAAAACUAUUGCGGAAAACAAAAGGACUAGAAAUUAAGCUCCCCCUAUUACAACAGAAUCUCAUAGAUAAGCAGAAAACAACAAAAGAAAAAUUGGAGAGUCGAAUAAAGAGAUCUAAUACAAUGCGACACAAACAAUAGGCAAAAAUGGCAUCAAACUUUUUUAAACACCUUUAAACCAUAAAAUACACAAACAAUGCAUUAUAGCAAAUUGCACCAAAAACAAACAAUUUGGGCAUCAAAUUAAUGGAAAACCCAUGUAGAAAACCAUUUUAAAAAUUAAAAAAUCCACUGUUGGAGCUCCCUUCAUCUCACAGCAGAAUCUCCAAAAAAAAAGAAAACAAAAAUAUAGAGAGAAAAAGGAGAAAGUUUAAAAAUGCAGAUCCAUGCCAGAAACUGUUUGUAGAUCACUUUCAUUUUCUACGGGGCAAGCACAAUGAGAGAAGGGCCAGAUGCAGUUAACUCUUGAGAGCCUAUCGAAUCAUCUAGCCAUGUAAUCCACCUACUAGUUCAACAAAGUUUGGAACUUUACCCUCCUCUUGAUGCUACCAAAUCUGUCGUAGCCUAUAGCAAUCUUGCUGUGUACCAAUUUGAUAGCCAGAUCAGCAUUUCCUGCUUUUCUAAGGGCAUUAAUCAUAAACGUCCUAACCCUACCAGGCACCUCACGGCCUUUCUCCACAAUUCCAUCAGCCAACCUGCAGGCAUGCUCAAACCUGCCGGCCUUGCACAACACAUUGAUCAUAUCCUCGUAAGCCGUCUCAGGAACAACCCCCAUCGGUGCUAGUUCAUCCAAAAUCUUACACGCCCUGUUGAACUUUCCCGAAAGGCAGAGGCCCGUAGAAAGGACUCUAAAGGAAGCAGUUGUGGGAGCAAUUCCCUUAUCGAUCAUCACGCCCCAUAGCUUCAGCGCCUCCUCAUUCUUGUGUCUUUUGAACAUUCCCUCGAUAAGUAUCGUAUACGUGUAGACGGUCUGAUGACAACCCUCACCAUCCAUUCUCUUGAACAGAGCACACGCAUCGUCAACCCGUCCAGCCUUUACGAGCGCGUUCAGGAGGGCAUUGUAGCAAUGCGAAUCCGGCACGAAACCCUUCUCUACCAUCUCAUGAAACAGCUUUUCCGCCCGGUCCGCCGAUCCAGCUUUCCCAAAGCCAUCGAUGAGGCUAGAAUAAAAGAUAGUGUUCACCGGAACACCUUUCUCCGAGCAGAACCUAAACCAUUCCAUCGCCUCGCUCACCUUCCCGGACUUGCACAAGCAGUUGAUGAGCACACUAUAGGUGACCGCGUCGGGCUCGAGCCCGGCAUCCUUCAUUCGGCGGAAAAGAGACAUCGCCUGCUCCUCAGCACCACACUUUGCGAACGAGUCGAUGAGAGCAGUAUAAAUGGCGACGUUGGCCCCGCAGCCUCUGCCGAGCAUUCUCUCGAGCACGGCAGACGCCUCGAAAGGCUUCCCCUCCUUGCACAGAGCGGCGAUGACGAGGGUGCAGGCAUGGGGAGGGAUCUCCAACCCCUUCUCCUCCAUCUCCCGAUAGAGCGAAAGGCAUCGGAGAAAGGCGCCGUCCCCAUAGUGGGACUGGAUAAGAGUGAGGUACGUGAUCUUAUCGGGGGCGGACGACGCAUUUUCGGCACCCUCCUUUUGCAUUUGGCCGAACAGGUUGAGGGCAUCCUGGGUUCUGCCCGCCUUGCAGUAGCCCUUGAUCAGAAUGUUGCGGGAGACGACGUCUGGGCGGGCUUUUGCGUCGGGCUGCUCCAUGACACGGAAGACCUUCUCGGCAGAGUCGACGAAGCCGGAGUUCACCAAGCCAUCCAUGAGGCAGUUGUAGGUGAGGAGGGAGGGUUCGAUCCCAAUCUCCUUCGUCCGGCGCCAGACGCACAGUAGCUCCUCGACCAAGCCUAGGGCGCCGAGGCUCUGGAUCAGGGACGCGGAAGCACAAGGAGUGAGCAGCGACAGGAGAUCCUCUCGACUCAGCAUCUCCGCCACCAGCUCACGGACACGAUCACUAGCCGAUUGGCCGGGGGGAGAGGAGGCGAAGGCAUGAAGGAGGGAGACGUAAGAAUCAAGGAGAUGCUGCUGCUGCUGCUGCUGCUGCUGCUGGUGGAGCCAAUUUUUGGAGGAUGCCCAGCGGAAGAAGCAGAGCGCGGAGCCCGGGCGGCGGCGGAUGUCGGGGGAGCGGAGGACGUGGGAGACGAAGGCGGGGGAGAGGCGGAGGAGGAAGGUGCGGCACAAGUCAUCGAGUUGGGACUCAAGUGAGGGGGAGGGAGAGGGAGAGGGGGAUUGGAGGACGAGGCCGACGAUUCGAGCAAGCCAUGGGGACGGGGAGCGCCGCCGCAGCCGCAGCUGCAGCUGCUCCUGCUCCUGCUCAUCGCCAUAUGCCCUGCCUGGAGAGGCAGAGGGGUAGCGGUGGGGUGCGAGGUCGGAGAGGUCGACGAAGGGCUCUAUCCAUUCGGGAGGAGGAUGAAGCAGAGGCUGGGUGGAGGAAGAAGACGAACAGAGGGAGGGAGUUGCAGAAGAAGGACGGGAUGAGAAGGACGAGGCGGUUGAAGUUAUAGCCAGGGAUCUGCGCCAUUGACAUACCAUUGCAACUCUCUUGAGCUCUCUGUGGAACCAGAAUUUUGGCACGUUGCACGAUAGCCAACCUAUGAAUUAAGGUAUCGUUUGGUUCGGGGAUAAGCAAAAAGUGGGUAUUCCGGGGAUAGGUAUAAAUUGAGGUAUAAGCGGAAAUUAGAUCAAUUUUACGUUUGGAUGAAAAUUGAGUUAUUCCUGGAAAUAAGAAAAAUAGCGUUUGGUUAGAUAAGAUGGAACAAGAAUUAAAGUGUGUAGUUAUAAAUAAAAAUAAUAAUAUUAUCCUUUUUUUAUAUUGGAAUUUGAAUUUUUAUAUUUUGUAUUUAUAUUUUAAAAUUUAAAAUUUUAACUUUUAAAUUUCAAAAUUUAAAAUUUUAACUUUUAAAUUUAAAAAAUUAAAAUUUAAAAUCUCAAAUUUUAAAUUCAAAAUUUUAAAUUUUAAAUUUCAAACUUUAAAUUUAAGAUCAAAUUUAAAUUUUAAAAAAAUAAAACAUCAAAUUUAAAAUUUCAAAAAUUUAAAAUAUCAAAAUUAAAUUUUAAAUUUAUUUAAAUUUUAAAUUUUAAUUUAUUAUAAUAUUUAAAUAUAAUUUAUUAUAAAAUUUAUUAUAAUAUUUAAAUAUAAAUAAUAUGUAUUAAUAUAGUACAAUUAAUAAUUUUAUAAUAAAAAUAAUGUAUUAUAAUAUAUAAUAUAUUAUAUUUAUAUAAUUGAGUUUUAAUUCAUUUUAUAAUUUUAAUUAAGUUUAAAAUUAAGCAUUGGAAUAGCACUAUUCCACCAAAAUGGUGGAAUAGUAAAAAACUUGCUAUUCCGAGAUAACCGGGAAUAGCAAGCUUUGACCGGGAUAAAAUAUUUUGGUAAAAAAAUGAUCCUGUUUGGCGGAAUAGCGGGGAUAACUUUCGUUAUCCCCGCUUAUUCCCCGAACCAAACGGGGCCUAAGAGACCUGCCCUGUUAUUAAUUUGUUGGGCCUCCCGGCCUGGCCCGGAUUUGGCCGGGCUGCAGCACGGCACAGUUCAGCCCGGCUCAAACUUCAGCACCAUGCUUGGGGCCUCUCUACUUGGUCCCGAUGGCCCAGCACGCGAAACGGACGUAGGCCGUGCGGAGCCGAGAAGAAGCUCGUGGACCAGCACGUCACGGCCUGCUUGGGCCGUGCCAGCCAGGCCAACAUGGCCAGAACCCCCAGGUCCAAGGUCUGAGCUUAUGGGGAGAAGGUCAAACAAUUUUAGUCCAUCGGACUAAAAAUCCUCUCUAUUUUUUUUUUAAAAAAUAAAAGUUCAUAUAUUUUUCAAAAAAUUACAUAUUUAUUAUUUUAUAAUUAUUUAAAUAAAUUUUAAAUUUUAUAAUCAAAAUAUCAAUUUAAAUAGAAAUAAUUUGUUGUUUAUAUUUUACAUAUUAUAUUUUUUAAAAAAAAAAAUAAAAAUAGAAACUUUAAGGGCCCGGCAUGGCCCGUAACUUCGGGGCCCAGGAGCCGUGUUGGGCAGGAGGCUUGGUAGCUUCGGCCCGACACGGCCUUGCACGGAUUAUAAACCGGACCGGGCGGGUUUCUAGCCCGAUUUGACCCGGUUAAUGUGGGCCUCUGCGGCCCGGCACGAUCCACGUUACACCCCCAAAACGGAACCUAUGUUGGUACACAAAACAUAGAGAUGAUCGGCAUCCCCAUAACAGGCCCCAAGUCUUGCCGGCUAGAAUAAUUAAUUGGGCCCAAUAACAAUAAAUAAACAAAAGCCGGAAUAGUUUAAUUCCCAGAUCUCUGCCCGGCCCAGCCCAACGUGCGCAGGGGUCGGGGAGGGGAAAGAGGAGGAGGGGAGACUGACUAGUCGCCGCGGGCUGCUGCAGCCUGCAGGCUGUGGGGGUGGUGGGGUUGGGAGGGGGAGGAGGAGGAGGAGGAGGAGGAUGGUGGGGGAAGGGGGGAUCGGCAGGAGGACGCUGCGGUGGGCGGGGCGGGCGGAGCACCUGGGAGGGAUGCCGCGGGCGGCGGUGUUCCUGGCGGCGGGGUGCUUCGCGAAGGCCGUGGCCGCCCUCCUCAACUCCACCACCGUCCACAACGCCGACACCCUUCUCCGCCUCGUCGCCUCCCGCCCCCCGACCCGCCCCCUCCUCACCGUCAGCAACCACAUGUCCACGCUCGACGAUCCGCUCUUGUGGGGCUUCAAGGGCUUCCCCUCCGCCGACGCCGCGCUCGGCAGGUGGGUCCUCGCCGCCGAGGACAUCUGCUUCACCAACAUCUUCUAUUCCUACCUCUUUCGACUGGGUGACAAUUCUUCUCCUUCUUCUUCUUCUUCUUCUUUUUGGAUUACCGAUCAAACAAAUUUUGUUGGUAAGUUUAUCGAUCGAAAAUCAAAACAAAAGUUGCCGGAGUAUAGCUUUUAUGCAGAUCUCUUAUGAUGGUCUUCUCACAGGAUGAGUGUGUUAGUCCAUCCAUUACAUUACAUUAAAAAUUGAUAGGCUAUGUGCUGUCAUGUCAUCUAAUUACAUGUGUAGGAGUUAUCCGGAGCUGAUUAAGAUUCUAUAUGAGAGUUUGCGAGAGGCAUUUAGUGCUGUAGAGCUGACAAAUUUGCCUAUAUGUGGACUCGGACUCGGAUUUGGAUUUGUACUUUAUCUCUUCUUCUAAGACGUUUCCAGAUCUUGAAGCAGUUCGGCUGUUUAAUUUAUGGUGUGUGUGAGCUUGACGGACAACUGAAUAACUAAGAACAUAGCUAUUCUAUUUCUUGGUCUGUAUCCAAUGGUUCNNNNNNNNNNNNNNNNNNNNNNNNNNNNNNNNNNNNNNNNNNNNNNNNNNNNNNNNNNNNNNNNNNNNNNNNNNNNNNNNNNNNNNNNNNNNNNNNNNNNNNNNNNNNNNNNNNNNNNNNNNNNNNNNNNNNNNNNNNNNNNNNNNNNNNNNNNNNNNNNNNNNNNNNNNNNNNNNNNNNNNNNNNNNNNNNNNNNNNNNNNNNNNNNNNNNNNNNNNNNNNNNNNNNNNNNNNNNNNNNNNNNNNNNNNNNNNNNNNNNNNNNNNNNNNNNNNNNNNNNNNNNNNNNNNNNNNNNNNNNNNNNNNNNNNNNNNNNNNNNNNNNNNNNNNNNNNNNNNNNNNNNNNNNNNNNNNNNNNNNNNNNNNNNNNNNNNNNNNNNNNNNNNNNNNNNNNNNNNNNNNNNNNNNNNNNNNNNNNNNNNNNNNNNNNNNNNNNNNNNNNNNNNNNNNNNNNNNNNNNNNNNNNNNNNNNNNNNNNNNNNNNNNNNNNNNNNNNNNNNNNNNNNNNNNNNNNNNNNNNNNNNNNNNNNNNNNNNNNNNNNNNNNNNNNNNNNNNNNNNNNNNNNNNNNNNNNNNNNNNNNNNNNNNNNNNNNNNNNNNNNNNNNNNNNNNNNNNNNNNNNNNNNNNNNNNNNNNNNNNNNNNNNNNNNNNNNNNNNNNNNNNNNNNNNNNNNNNNNNNNNNNNNNNNNNNNNNNNNNNNNNNNNNNNNNNNNNNNNNNNNNNNNNNNNNNNNNNNNNNNNNNNNNNNNNNNNNNNNNNNNNNNNNNNNNNNNNNNNNNNNNNNNNNNNNNNNNNNNNNNNNNNNNNNNNNNNNNNNNNNNNNNNNNNNNNNNNNNNNNNNNNNNNNNNNNNNNNNNNNNNNNNNNNNNNNNNNNNNNNNNNNNNNNNNNNNNNNNNNNNNNNNNNNNNNNNNNNNNNNNNNNNNNNNNNNNNNNNNNNNNNNNNNNNNNNNNNNNNNNNNNNNNNNNNNNNNNNNNNNNNNNNNNNNNNNNNNNNNNNNNNNNNNNNNNNNNNNNNNNNNNNNNNNNNNNNNNNNNNNNNNNNNNNNNNNNNNNNNNNNNNNNNNNNNNNNNNNNNNNNNNNNNNNNNNNNNNNNNNNNNNNNNNNNNNNNNNNNNNNNNNNNNNNNNNNNNNNNNNNNNNNNNNNNNNNNNNNNNNNNNNNNNNNNNNNNNNNNNNNNNNNNNNNNNNNNNNNNNNNNNNNNNNNNNNNNNNNNNNNNNNNNNNNNNNNNNNNNNNNNNNNNNNNNNNNNNNNNNNNNNNNNNNNNNNNNNNNNNNNNNNNNNNNNNNNNNNNNNNNNNNNNNNNNNNNNNNNNNNNNNNNNNNNNNNNNNNNNNNNNAAUUUUAAAUUCCAAAUUUUAAAUUUUAAAUUUAAAUUUUAAUAUUUUAAAAUUUUGAAAUUUAAAAUUUGAUAUUUUAUAUUUCUCAAAUUUAAAUUUGAUCUUAAAUUUAAAGUUUGAAAUUCAAAUUUUAAAAUUUUGAAUUGAAAAUUUGAGAUUUUGAAUUUAAAAUUUUAAUUUCAAAUUUUAAAAUUUAAAAGUUAAAAUUUUAAUUUUCAAAUUAUAAAUUUAGAAUUUAAAAAUUCAAAUUCAAAUAUAAUAAGUGGGUAAUAUCAUUAUUUUUUAUUUAUAACUACCCACUUUAAUUUUUAUUCCAUCUUACCUAACCAAAUGUAAUUUUUUUUAUUCUUAUGAAUAACCCAAUUUUCAUCCAAACACAAAAUUGAUCUAAUCCCCGCUUAUACCUCAAUUUAUAUCUAUCCUUGGAAUAGCCAUUUUUUGCUUAUCCCCGAACCAAACGAUACCUAAGGGGACUGCUAUCAUCCCAACCGUAGAAUUUUUAAUCCAAGGGCUAAAAAAUUGGAAGCACCAAUUACUUUAUGCUUCUGAUAUCAUAGUAGCUCUACACUAUAUUUUAAUUAUUUCAGAGGAUUGUAAUUCAACAAUUUUAUUUUAUAUUUUUUAUUAUUGUGUUGUAUUAUUGUCCUAAUUUUAAUUUAAUUUAUGUCUUUUUAUUUUGCCAUUUGAUAAAAGAGACAAAUUACAAUAUUCUAUAUCUUAUAAUUGAUGUAUACUUUGUUAAUAUUUAUACUCUAUUUUAAUCAAAUUUAAAUAAAUUCAAACAAAUGCUAAAAUGGGAUGCUACUAAGUUAAUUUUUCUAAUGUGAUUUUUUUACAUAAUAAAUGUUUAAAAUAAUCUUCUUUUCUAUAUUUAAAAUUAUAUAUAAUUUUACUUGUUUGUUAUAUUAUAUAAUUGAAAUUAUAUUUUUAUAUCUAUAUUUAUAAUUAUAUCUUUAUAUAUUAAUUUUAUCACUAUUCUCAAACAUUGAAAUAUUUAUUAAAUAUUUCAUAAAAUAUUUAAGGGUAAAAUUACCAUUCAACGUAAAUUUUAUCAGUCCAGUAAUCUUAUUCUCACAUAAGCAUCCAAACACUAUCGAAAAUAUCCUCCGUGAACAAAUAAUUAAUAUUCAAACGUAAAUUUAUAGUUAUUCUAACUUAUAUCAAAAUAUUCUCUAUUCUUGGGAAUAAUAAAAAUUAUUUCUCAAAAUUUAGUUCUGGAACCAAAAAGAGUAUGGCCUUUCGCUCGAAUGAAAGUAAAUUUUUUUUUUUUUAAUUUUCAUUUAUCCUCCCACAUCCUUUCUCGUAAGACACUCCGCGUCCCCUGCGACGGUUGACCGUUAGCGCCGUCCCUGCUACGUACGUACGCGUACAUACGACACAGUUGCGACACCGUUGCUUUUAAAGAAGUACUAUUAUUAUUAUUAUUAUUAUUAUUAUUAUAUUAUAUUAUAUUAUAUUGAUUUACGGCUUUGCCGACGUCUUCCUCAAUUCCAUCACCACCGAACCUUCCCCGUUCCCUGCCUCGAAGCUCCUCCUGAACCCAGCUGCUUCUGAUGGAUCACAAGUUUCCUUGAAAGAAAAGAAAGGACCAGAAAUCGCAAGGAAUCAAACAUAUACUGCCUAUAUAUACAAACUUUCUCUUCUCGCACCAUGGGGAUCGGUGAUAAGCAGAUCCGAGUUUGUUAAUUAGUUUGCGCCCACCUACGUACGUAUCAACACUUCUUCGCAGAUAAUCAUAUAUACACGUAGUAGCUAGCUAGCGACCGUACGUCCAUCAUGCUUGCUGUCAUCAACAACGGAGCCGCGCCCGCCGCCGCCAGUUUGGCCGCAGCAGUACAGCCGGCCGACGUCGUGAGCGGUCGGAACAGCAGCAGCUCCUCGGCUUCCCUCUCGACGUCUUCGUCCCUGAUAAGUAAACUGCGGGUUGCGUUGUCUCCUAAAAGCAAGAGGCCUGCAGAUGGCGAUAUUCGCCAGCAGCAGCAGCAGCCACUUGCGCGGGUCCUGAGCUGUGGCAGCACCGAAUCCAGAUCCAGCUCCGGUGCCAGCUCCGGCGGGGGGAGCAGGCGAUCGAGAAAUACGGAGGUGAUGGAGCGUGUGUUUCGCUACUUUGACGAGAACGGGGAUGGGAAGAUCUCGCCUGCGGAGCUGCAGAGUUGCAUGCGGAGGAGCCUCGGGGAGGAGCUGUCGGCCGAGGCGGCGGCAGCAGUGGUGGCGUCGAGCGACUCGGACGGGGACGGGCUGCUCGGGUUUGAGGAUUUCUUGAGGCUGCUCGCAGAAGAUGAGAAGGCUGCAGGAAUAUCGGCGGCGACAGAGGAGGAGGAGGAGAGCUGCAGCCUGCGCGAGGCGUUCCGGGUGUACGAGAUGGAGGGGCAGGGCUGCAUCACUCCCAAGAGCCUCAAGCGGGCACUCCGCAGGCUCGGCGACCCCCGCACCACCAGGGAGUGCGCCGCCAUGAUCCGCGGCUUCGAUCUCAACGGUGACGGCGUCAUCUGCUUUGACGAGUUCAGGGCCAUGAUGAUGAUCUAACUAUAACUGAAUGUAUAGAUAUAUCCCCUGCCAUCUGGGGGGAUACAUGACACACAAAUUGAUACCUUCCAAUUCUUUCAUUUUUUAUUAUUAUUUUUUUUUGUUUUGCGGACACUUCUGUCUCUAAUUUACUGCUGUAUGAGAUUCUUUUAUCAGUUGUUUCUGUGAUGUAUAGAAAAAGUAUAGUAUUUCGUUAAUUAAUGUGUUUCAGAAAACACGAUAAUCAUCAAUAAAGUGAUCGAAUUCUUUUGACGAUAUGUAUCUUAUUCGAUUCGAAGAUUUGUGCAAUUGAUUGAGCAUAGCGAGGAGAAUUCAUAUUGAACAUCUACAAAAUUAUUUUGGAAACCCACAUCAUCAUCCAAAACAAAACAAAAUAAAACAAAACAAAAAAAUACAAGAAAAUUUUACUCUGUAAAUUUACAAACGUACCAUAUUGGGAAUGGUGUGAUGUUUGGUAAUUUAGAAGAGGAGAUUACUUGCGACCUUGCAUAUACAAAUAGAUAAAAAUUUCACUCUGUAAAGUUUUAUCCGAAAACAGUUUGAUUACGAGCUUCAAAACUUAAUUUUGGUGCAGCAGCAGCAGCAGCAACUACGACAUAAUGAAAAUAAUAAUAAUAACGCGCUAAAUGGGAACAUGGGAACAAAAACUUGGGAAAAAGAAAAUGUUAAAAGAAGCUGAGAACGCAUGUAAGACUCGUUUUCUAUUGACGUCCAGUUAGAUAAAUAGGUGAUGUUAUCACAAAGCAAAUUAAUUUGGAUAAAAGAGCAGCUAGAGCACAAGAAGCCAACUAACUAAUUCAUUGUGCAAGGGUUUUGCUCCAUCUUUUCUGGUCCAAUUGAUCAGUCUCGUUAAUGCGAAAUUCAGAGGUUAACAGCUAUGACCGAUUUGGUGAGACUAUUCGGUUUUCUCUAAACCCAAAAAAAAAAAAAAAAAAACAUGAUACUUUUCAUUUAGGCAAGUUUAAUUGUGGGAACCAAGUAGGUAAGUACGGGUGAAACCAAUCCUCGUCAUUCGUCUACAACUUUGACUUUGCCUUCCUGAGUGAGCCAAUCAAUCGUGUGUAUCUAAGACAAAUUUAGGAGAAACAAGUUAAAAAAAAGGAAAAAAAAUGUGUAAAUGGCUCGCUUUCUUUCUAAGAAGCAACAUGAAUGUGGGUCACCACAGUUUACAAAGUCAAUUUGACCUGCGUGCUGGUACGUUAGAGCUGUCCCAUCAUAGCGUCCCCGCCACGCUUUGACUGGUAGGCGGUGGUCGCCGCCUCCUUUGAUUAAUUGUUUGUAUCAAGCAUCUACCCUUCUCCAUUUUCUCAGAAAAAAUUAGCAUCCAGUUAAAAAUAAGAAAAACACUAAUAAAAUACUAACUAAUUAGUAUAAAAUUAUAACUUAGAAUGAAUUGCAGAUCCAGCACUUGUCUCAAAAUGAUUAUCAAUUGCAUGAGUUUGGGCCCGGAUCAUUGGUGUUGUGAUGCGCCUGAGGAAGACAAAAUAUAUUUUUUUUUUUUAAGAGAAAGGUAGCAUGCUACCCGCUUUAUUCAUUGGAAAAAUGAACUAGGCUACAAGGGUGGGGCAACCAUAGUUAGUAAAUUCGGAUUCGGCAAAAAUUCGGUACGGAUAUAAUUCGGAUAAAAUUCGUCUUCUAAUUUUUAAAUUUAUUGAAAAAUACGGCUAAAAAACGGAUUCGCUAAUUAUUCGGAUACGUGAUUUAUACGGAUAUUAUACGUUCACCAAUUAAAAAUUCGGGAUAAAAAAUUCGGCUAUUAAAUUAAGUUUUUUUUCUCUCAAAAUUUAUGCUAUUAGCAUAAAUAUUCAUAUUUCUUAAGAAUAUAAGAAUAAAGAGCUACAAAAUUAAACUAAUUAAGUAAAACAUAGUUGAAAACUGAAUAUAAUUAAAUAUAAAAUAUAGAAGAUUCACAUAUAAACAUAAAAGAUUCACAUACAACCAUUAUUGCAAACUCUGUUACUAAAAUAUGUUACCCUUUGUUGUCAAGAUUCCUUACUUGAAUAGCAUUAUUUGGAGCAAUUUUUUUUUUCCUGAAAUAAACUUCGCACCAUAAUAUGCAGGGUUAAAAUAUAUAUAUAGACACCUAGUUAAGCUACUUUAAAAGAGGUUAACAUACUCGAAGUGAUCGAUCGAUUGAUGCCCGCCAAAUCCCGUUGCUAAUUCUAAUCCAAAUUCAAAUCCAAAAAACUUCUCAGAUCUCAGAUCUCAGAUCUAUGAUAAUUAAUUAGGCACCUUUCGCAAGUCCAAGAGUCAAUAUAAACCCAACUUAAUUAAUUAAGGAGAGAUGAAGAAACCCUAAUUAACAAUUUUAAUUAGCUUGAAGGAGAUUAAUUAUUGUGAGCAGUAGAGAAAAUAGAACUUGUAGACUUCAAAACUACAAUGUAAAGGAUGUAGACUUCAAAACUACAAUGUAAAGUGUAGAUCAUAGGGAUGAUGAGAGUCAAACUCAUACAAGGUUUACUCAUCGGAGAAGGGAAGAGGGGCGAAGAGGUUACCUGUGUGCUGGGAGAGGCCGAGGAGGAGGAGGGAGAGGAGGGGCGGAACGAGGAGGUGGGCGGCGGCGGCGGCGGCGCAGACGCGGCGGCGACGGCGCAGGCGCGGGCUUAGGCGAGGUCGGGCGGGGCGCGGGGCGGGGGGCGUGGGAGAUGACGGACUGGUUGAGGAAGGAAGGACUGGAGGAGUGGAGGGUUCUGAACUUCUGAUUUCUGAAGAGUGAAGAACUCGAUCUUCGAUGUGGCCACGCGGGGUCUUCCAAUGGCAUGCGGCGAGCGGCCGGAAGGGAAGAGGAGGAAGGAAGGGGAUCGGGGCUGGGAUCGGUGCCUCGAUGGUAGGCGGGAGGGGUGAGGGUUAGGGUAAAAUCUUCGUUUUGGGGAGGGCGAAGAGGGCAAUUCGAAUUUCGAUUUUCGAAAGGAAUUUUUUCCCCCUGCCGGUUUUUUUUUUUUUUUUUUUUUUUGUUUGGGGUGUUUUGAUUUGUUGUUUUAACUAUUUUUUCUGUUAAUUUUAGUAUGCACUAGAAUUUUUUUUUUCUUCUUGUUCAAUUUAAAUAAUUAUGCGCAAUAUUAGCCCUAAUGUAUCACGCCGUGUUGUUUGAUAUAAUGUUGUAUCAUAUUAAAUUAAUAUAUAUUUGUUGUUAUGCAGUAGUAUGUUUGAUUNACGAGCCCGUGACCCGCGAGGCCCGCCCGCGACUGCGACCCGGCGCCGUUUUUUUCAGGCGUUUAAUUUGCGAACCGCGAAUUAAACGCGAACAAGAAUAUUUCACCAAAAAACCGCGAUUUUUUACGAAUUUUUGGGAAAAAUACGUAAACGGCCGUAAAAUUCGUUUUUCCAAAAAUUCGCGAAUUAUUCGCGAAUUUACUAACCAUGGGGGCAACUAGGGCCCUGAAAAAAAAAUAAAAAUAAAAAUAAAAAUAAAAUAGAAAUAAAGAUAAAAAUUAAAAUUAAAAUUCAAGUAGGUAGAGCCGAAUCUCACUCCUUCAGUAACUGCCGGAGAGUGAUAACAACCCUCUCAGGGUUUGGUUGGAUUGUCUUAAAGAUCAUGUCAUUUCUGGCCUUCCAAAUGCACCACCAGCAACCGGCUAAAUCAGUAAGGCAGUCCCUUUUCUUCCUUCGGCUCUUUCUAAUCCUCCACUUGUCCCAAGCACGGUUAACCUCAUCCUCCAUGUCUAGAGUCUGAACUCCAUCAACACCCGACACUAAGAUGAACUUGCUAAAAACACACCUGGUGAACAGAUGGUCUACUGUUUCCUCGGCCGACCCGCAUAGUACGCAGGUUGAGUCUUGAACCCAACCUCUUUUAGUUAAUCUAUCGGUCGUAGGGAUUCUCUUAUUAAGGACCAGCCAGCAGAACACUUUAACCUUAAGAGGGAUUUUGACUCUCCACAGAUGAGAUGCACGCACAUCCCUCGUACCUCCGUCCGACAACGACACAUAGAUCGAUUUUUACAGAGUAAGAACCAUCGUUGCUCCAUCGCCAUUGUAUAGUAUCUGAUCUAUUCUCCGUGGAAUACUGUGAAAUCCUAUCUUUGAGCUUCGCGAGGCUGGUUCUCGUCCCUUGCCCUUGGUUGUAAACGACUCCCAAAAUCCUACUCCACUCCCAACUACCCCUCGUAAAGCAGUCACUAACUUUUAGGUUUUUUCCGUCGGACAAGAGGAAAGCCUCGGGGAAUAAAAGGUUUAGCGUGUUAUCCCCACACCACCGAUCUAACCAAAAGUUGAUGUCGCAUCCGUUACCAAGCUUGUAGGCCUUCCCCCAAGAGAAGAUAGUGCUAUGGCAGAGAACUCCCCUCCACCAGCUUGAGUAGGGUCUAAAUGAUCUGCCUUCUCUCAAAGGUAUUAUUCGACGAUAAUAUAAGUCUCAGAUUAGCUUGUUCCACUGUAACUGAGUACCUGUGCAGAAUUUCCACCACCAUUUAGUAAGUAGCGCUUGGUUCAUGAUCGCUAUAUCCAAGAUCCCUAAACCGCCUUCCGCCUUGCUCCGGCAUACAUUCUUCCAAACCAUCAAGCAGCCCUUUCUUGCGGCGUUUCGCCUACCGUUCCAGAAGAAGUCCCUUCUAAGCGCUUCGAUGCUCUUAAGUGCCCAUUUGGGUGCCUUGAAUACAAAUAGGGCGUAAAGGGGUAGGUUAGUUAACACCGCGUUUACCUGAAUUACUUCAUGCCCCUUGCCGAUGUAUAUGUGAAAGUCUAAGGAAAGUCUAAGGGACAAAAUACUUCAUGCCCUUUUAACGCGGCUGCGGAGCCCGAAGUCAAAAAGUGCGGAAGAAACGGCGGGUUCACAGCGCCAACCAAGCACAGAAAUUGAAGUGUCGCCUGCGGGUACCCACUUGCCAAUUUAUAUCUCUUCCUCUUCUUCUCACGCAUGAAUGCGUGAUGUUGCCAUAUAAUGAGCUUACAAUAUUGAUUAGUUGGGAGUGCGAGUAGAAGACAGAGAGAGAUCAUAAGAAAAAGAUAAAAAUAAUAAGAAACAGACAGAAAAACUCCGUAACACCGCGCCUCAGUCAGUAAUGGGGAAGCCGAAGCAGCGGCAGCAGGAGCAGCCGCCCGUGUCGUUCUUGCUAUCCGUGUUCUUCUUGUGCUUCUUGAUCUCGAUCGGGUGCAGCGACGCCCAGCAGGAGUACGAGAACAACGAGCAGGACAACUGCUACGGGACGAACGGCUCCUCCACGCUGGGCUACUCCUGCAGCGGCGGCGGCAGCAGGUCGUGCACGGCGUACCUGACCUUCCGGGCGGCGGCGCCGUCCUACCAGUCGCCCGUCGACAUCUCCAACCUGCUGUCCGCCGACGCCGCCAACAUCUCGUCCGUCAACGGCGCCGCCGACGCCUCCUCCCCGCUCCCCGACGGCCGCCCCGUCCUCGUCCCCGUCGCCUGCGCCUGCGCCGGCGCCUACUACCAGCACAACGCCACCUACACGCUCAAGUCCGCCUCCGAGAUCUACUUGACCGUCGCCAACGGGACCUUCGCGGGCCUGUCGACGUGCCAGGCCCUCAUCGCCCAGAACCCCCGCUACGAGAGCCACAACCUCUCCGUGGGCCUCACCAUCGCCGUGCCCCUCCGCUGCGCCUGCCCCAGCCCCAAUCAGACCGCGCAGGGAUACAAGUACCUGCUCACCUACGUCGUCACCUGGGGCGAAGACCCCUCCGCCAUCGCCGGGCGCUUCGGCGUCGACCCUCAAGCCCUGCUCGACGCCAACAGCCUCUCCGCCGACUCCACCAUCUACCCCUUCACCACCCUGCUCGUCCCCCUCAGGUCCGAGCCCACCGAGCAACAGCUCCUCGCCGCUUCCCCUCCCCCUCCUCCCUCUUCUACCCUUCCUCCUCCUCCUUCCGGCUCAAGCAGCAGCAGCAGCAGCAGCAACAAAUGGGUUUUCAUCGGGAUCGGGAUCGGAGCCGGCCUGCUAAUCCUCUGCGGAAUUCUGGCCGGUCUGCUGACCGUCCGCUUCCGCCGCCGCCGCGCCGCCGGUCUCCCCCCGGGCUAUGCAAAGGGAAAGACGAAUUCGGAGUCGGGCGGGGCCCCCGGCGAUGCGCCGAUGAAGCGGCCGGCGCCUCUGAUUUCGAGCGACGUCCGCAACGUGAUCGAGUCGCUGGCGGUGUACGAGCACGGGGAGCUGGAGAGGGCGACCGGGUUCUUCGGCGAGGAGCACCGGAUCAAGGGGUCGGUGUACCGCGGGGUGAUCAACGGCGACAGCGCGGCGAUCAAGCGGCUCAAGGGCGACGUCUCCAACGAGAUCAACAUUCUCAAGCACAUCAACCACUCCAACGUCGUCAGGCUCUCCGGCUUCUGCGUCCACGACGGCGACACCUUCCUCGUCUACGAGUUCGCCGACCACGGCUCCCUCGCCGACUGGCUCCACCACCACCACCGCCCCCACCCCCACGAUGGCAGCAGCAACGAGUGGAGUAGCGGCGGAAGAGGUUAUCUCAGCUGGAAGCAGCGGGUUCAGAUCGCCUACGACGUCGCCGACGGCCUCAACUACCUGCACAACUACACCAACCCGCCGUACAUCCACAAGAACCUCAAGAGCAGCAACAUCCUGCUCGACGCCGAAUUGCGCGCCAAGCUGUCGAAUUUCGGCCUCGCGAGAGCGGUGGCGCCGACGACGGACGAAUCUGGGGAAUCGGCGCCGCAGAUGACCCGGCACGUCGUGGGCACGCAGGGCUACAUGGCGCCCGAGUACUUGGAGCACGGCCUCGUCACGCCCCAGCUCGACGUGUUCGCCUUCGGCGUCGUCAUGCUCGAGCUGCUGUCGGGCAGGGAGGCGGCCUCUUUCGCCGACGACAAGGAGACGAAAGGCGGCGAGAAGGCGCUGCUGCUGUGGGAGUCGAUAUCCGGAGUGCUCGGCGGAGAGGACGUGCGGCGGAAUUUCAGAGGCUUCGUCGACCCGUACCUGCAGAGCGAUUAUCCCUUCGAUCUGGCGUUCGCCAUGGCCGAGCUGGCGAUGCGCUGUGUGUCGCGCGAGCCGGGGGCUAGGCCGAGCAUCGGCGAGGUGCUCGUGUCGCUGUCGGCGAUUUACAACGCCGCCUCUGAUUGGGACCCUUCAGAUUACAGCCACUCGGGUUCCAUGAUCCAUGCCAGGUGAUUAACACUUGCUUUUUCUGGUUGCUCUCAUUCAACACUCCACGCCAUUCAAUAUUAUAGAACAUGAGAACAUGACAGAGAACAUAAAGAUGUACUUGUAGAGAUGGUAAUAAGCCGAGAGAUUCAGCAAAUUUAGCAGAAUUUUAUGAGAUUUUGAUGUAUUUAAUGUUUUUGCUGUAGCCUUGUGGAAGAACAAUUACUAUUCAUUUGCCUUUCAAUUCUUGCUUUGACCGUCGCAAGCCUCUGGUUCAUAAAUCUGUGGCAUGUUUUGAUCGUUCAAAUUGUUUCUUUAUUUCUUUUCCAUCUCAUACGGGGUUAUACAUUAACUUAAAAAGAUUCAAUACUCAUCAAGCAUCAUAAUCCUGCGAUAGUAUAUUUUUCUGUGUGUAAGCUAAGGGGUUGUUUUGCAUGGUGGAAUUAAGAAGUUCUUUUUGAUAACCCGUGAACUGAGAAAUCUGACCGAAACUGGAUGGCUGGUGUAUUUUUAUCUAGUCACUAACAGCUUCUCUGUUGCAAUACUGAUAAUUAACUUCAUACAGAGGCCAAAAGCAGAAUCUUUUGUGCUAGAUAAUUGAGCAAUUGUUGAUCAGUCCAAAUGCCUCUCUAGCCAGCUAGAGGUUCUGCAGAAGUAUUGUUUCAUCAUUAAAAAUCUGAGAAGCCUCAAUAGUUUUUAUGGUUAAUAGUUUUACAGAUUCAAACAGAACCCUGAAGCAGAACCUUUAAAUUUGUUGAAGCCAAUUUCAGUUUUCUGAUCGAGUCGAACGCUCUAUAUGUAUUUGCACCAAAACUCUUUUAGUUCUACUUCUUGUGCAGAGAAUCUCUGCAGAAGCUGAGCCAAAUCGGUACUAAACAGCACGAGGUGCGUAUGAAACUUUCUCUAUGUUCUUUUAGGGCAUGAUUGAUUUAUGAUUGGAAUAGAAAUGAUAAAUAAAAUUUGAUUGUUUUAGAAUAAAAAAAUGGAAUGACGAAUCACUCAAAAAUAAGAGAGAGCUUUGAUUAAGAAAGAGAAGAGUGAUGAAGGAAGAUAAGGGGAAAGUGUUUGUGAGAGAUGAUUAUAAGUAGUUUACUUUAAAAUAGGCCAAUCCGGAAUUCAAAACCGGAUUCGGCCAUACAUGUAUUUGGUCAUUUUCCAUUCCAGAGUGGAAACAGAAUUGCAAUCCGAUUCCUAUAAACCAAACAACAAUAAUUCGAAUCAAUAAAUAUCAUUCCGAUUUCAUAAUCUGGCAUAGGUGAACCAAUGGGUGAACCAAACAUGCCCUUAAUGUAGAGAAAUAUUCUAAGGGGCUUUAUUUCCACCAGCACAAGAGAGUUGCAGUUCUGAGGUACAUGGAGUUUUUUGAGAACCUCAUCUCCUCGCUGUCUGAAAAAGAAAAUUAGCAAUGCUGUCAACUGCUCCAUAAUAAAUCCUCUUUUCCGCAAGUGAUCAAACCUUUUCGACUGUUAGUUGCUCUCAUGUAUGAAAUUAGUUGUGCUUGACCUGACCAUAUACAUAUAUAUAUAUAUAUAUUUGUGAGUAGUUGCUAGUGAUGAUGACCAGGAUGAUAGCCCAGUAAGGAGAUGGGUUAUCUGGAAAACGUCGGGCUUCAACGCCGGAGCAUACAUACCAUUGUGAUCAAGAUAUGUAAUUCCAGGCCUUUUUUUUGCUUCAAUUGGCACAUCACAUGGCAGAAUCGUCUUGAUUCUGCUAUGCAACUUACUAUGUUCUUCUGAUGAUCGAAAAACUUAAUUUCUGCUGCUGCUGCUGCUGGCCACUUAUGUUAGAAAUCUUGUCACAGAUGUUCAUACUAAUAGCAACAGAUUUGGGACUAGCUAGUUAUCACUUACUAGUAGUUAUCACUUACUAGUAGAUCUAAUUAAGUUCUUUUAAAACAAAUUUUGAGACUUUGUAUUGGUAGGGGUGCGCCAGGCCCGUGCAGUAGUGCAACGCAUGGGCGACGCGCGAGGGCCGCAGCAGCAAGCUGCCGUGGGCAGACCCUUCCCCAGAAAAAAAUGAAUUUAAUAUCGAGGCGAGCACAUGGCCCGCGUAUCAGAUAUUAAACUGAUAAGAACAGAUACUACACUUGAUCUUAGCCAAAAGGCCGAGAAAGGUAUGAAUUGUUGAUUCUGAGUUGCCCUUCUUUUAAUUCCUCGCUGCCUUUCAAUGUGCAGUUCUCCUUCCGGUGUGGGACAAAUGACAAUAUAAACGCACAAGCGUGCGUGCAACGCAUCCUUUGUAAUAACAAAAAUAAUAACAAAAUUUAAAAAGAAUAUUUGAUAUAAUUCCAACCGCACACUUUUUGAUCACGCAUCCACUCUGCAGAUUCAUUCAAGUUUUUCGAGUAAUUUGAUCUUACGCUUUGUAUGUUAGAAAGGACAUUGAUUAGGAUUGAAUAUAAGUUAGGGAAUAUUGAUUCACAGGCACUAAUUUUUUUAAAAAAUUCACAAACAAUUAAAUAUACAACCACUUGUAAAGUGCUCUCAAUUGAGUACCAUAAAUAAACAAAAAUUGCUGCUUCUAAAUACGUUGAUGAAAUUUGGAACGAGAAAGUAAUCUAAAUGGAACAAUAAAAAUGAAAAAUAAAAUCAAAUACAAUCCGAGCUAAAUUAAGCAUUUUUUUAUUUUUUUUUUUUCACUCCGCAUCCUCCAGAAUGGUGCUCAACAUCCUCCUCAAACGCCGAGAAGCUGCCCUCGGGGUGCCCGCUGAACCUUUCUUUUUUGAGGCCAUCAUCUUCUCAUAAUUAUUAGACGCAGAAUUCGAGGCAGAUACCGUAAUAGUACUAUAGAAGUCGUAAUCAUUAUAAGAAUGUUGUACUAGAGCGUCUUCGACGGGCAUCACUCUCCGUCCUCUCUUCUUACUAGAUGCGGCUGCUGCGGCGGCGGUAUCGAGGGCGGCGCUGGCCUUGACGGCGAGGGCGGCCAUGUCGAGGCCGGAGAGCGCGCGGCCGCGGAGGGCGAGGGGAAGGACGAAGUAGAGCUGCCCCCGUCGGAGCAAAUCCCCGGGGCCCAGCGCGGGGAUGGAGGCGCCGAAGCAGAGGCGGUCGGAGUCGCAGAGGAAGAAUUCGGCGGAGGCGGCGCCGCCGAGCGCGUCGGAUGCGGAGAUCGGGGCUGCGUACUCCGUCAGCGAUCCGUCCGCCGCGACCACCUUGGCCGUCGGUUGCCGGGGGACGUCGAUAGCGGAUUUGGCGGCGGCGGCGGUGACGGAAGAGAAGCACGAGCCCAUGCAACAACGGUAACGAACGCCAGAAUUCAAUGGUCGGUUAUUGAUAGGGAAGGAAGAGGUACCAUCAGGUGUGAGUAUAUAUAUAGACAUACAUACACACACAAAAGAUAUAUAUAUAAAUAUAAAAAGUUGUUUUCGUGCGAUUAAAAUAAUAAUAAUAAAAAUAAUAAUAAUAAAAAGGCAAGGAUGCGUUGGGCUUGGGCACGUAGUUUUGUGGGGGCAGUACAGGGAAUUGUAGCGGAAUUGUAGCGGAAGACUCGGGCAGGUGUCUUGCAGCACAAGAAACUAAUGUAAAAAAAAAGAAAAGAAAGAAAGAGAGAGAGAGAGAGAGAGAGUGAGAAGGCCACGUAUGUGAUGAUGCAGUGCUAGACCUGCUGGUGUGUGUAUUUAAUAGUUUUGGGAAAGCGAUCCGAUCAGGGGGGAAGGUUCGCAUUCGCUUCUGAUAUUUCUGGUUCAUUCCCAUUCCCACCUCUCCUGCUAUUCUGGGAACUGUCUAGAAACACGAGCGAGGACCGGGUCAACCAUUCGAUAGUUGACUCUUCUCGCCAACGUGGGAUCUAUGCGGCAUUUAUAUCGCCGUAUCUCAAAGUCUCUCCAUUAAUUAAUCAGAAUCUGAUCCACUCAAACAAUAGUUUCCACCAAUAUCUUAUUCCUCCGUAUUAUUCCUUGACCUGCUCGAAAAUAUACAAUAUUUGCUAGAUACACUAUAUAAUUAUUAAGAUUUUUUUUAAAUGUCGGAAUAAUAUAUUCGAAUCGUGUGAUUAUAUAUAUAUUUUUUUUUCGCUUCUUGAACAAUAAUAACAUAUUCCAGCUAAAUGAAUGAUUUAUCUUUUCUUUUUUUUUUUGUGAAUAUGAUACCUAUUUGAGAUUUUUGAUUAUGAUACACAUCCAACAUAUAUUGAAUAAAUCAAAUAAAUAUAUUAAAAUGUUCAUACACAAAUAGGGCAUACUAUAUUCGGCUUUUGAGUUUUUUUUUUUUUUUUUUGAAAUAAGAUAAAUUGCUUAUGUUAUUCUGUCAAAUCGUUGAUGUCAAGAGUUUUCAAGGAGAAAAUUAAUGGUAAUAAUAAUAAGUCCCUAAUUUUCAACGGCACAAAAUGUUUUUAUAAAUUAUCAUAAAAUAUCUUAUUUCAACGACCAAGUGGAAUCAUAAAAUAUGCCUCAUUAUUAUAUAUAUAUUCAGAAUUAGGUUACUAUACUAUUAAUAGCACCAACUCAUUGAUGUUAUUAUAUUUUCAUACCUGAAUGAAGGAAUAUGUAAUUAGGAUGAUAGUCGUACCCUAGGGUUGGGUGUGCGUUUGAUGGAAUAGUGUGAUAUAUAUAAGGUUUAGGGUUGAGUGGGUAGUUGCUACCACCUAGUAUUUGGUGCUAUUGAUAGCAUUAUAAUCAGACUCUAUAUACCUAACUCCCACCCUAUUUUAUUAUAUUA
rnacentral:lncRNA from 1 species